UUCUUAUUGAACGAAAGCAAAGCAGAUUUAUUAAAUAGAACAGGCGUCAAUGCUAAGAAUCUUAGCAAGCGCAGCAAGGGGAAACACAACCCAUCCAUCGAGUAAGACAUCCUACCCAUACAUUGCACCACCCAAUUAGCAGUUUCGUUACAUAAUCGGAGAAUACAUUUUUAACAAAUAUUAAAAGGAGAAGUUAAAUCGAGGAUAUCAGCUUCAAUCACCCGAGAAAGCUAGCACGAAUUGUUACCACCUUUAAGAGAGGAAAUCAAGUCACUAUUAUCAGAUUCUAUCAGCACAUCAGUCCAUUUUCUUCUUGCGACCAAGGUAGCUCCUAAAUGAACCGCUAAAGCUUCCACAACCUGCACUGAGGACGCAAUGAGAAAGGCAUUCACACCUUCAACAAUUUCCCCUUUUUCAUUCCUAACAAUGGCAGCAAUCCCAUGCCGCAUCACAAUUAAUUUUGAUACCUCCUUGCCUUGAAGCAGACCAUCAUAGGCCAAUAUUGGUAGACGAUGCCCUUCUAGCAUCAUUUGGCCAAACUAAUUCCUCAGUUUCUCUCAUUGCUUUAUGCAUAGUGAUCCCAGAUUGUCAUUAAUGCCUUCAAAUAUUAUCUGGUUUCUUGCGAUCCAUAAAUUCCAACAAAUAUAAGCAAGUAGUCUAAUCUGGUCUUUCACUACAUUUGAAACAAGCCAACAACUUUUAUCAUUCCACCAUUUGAAAACUCUUUUAAAACUUUCCUUUUGUGGAUAGUAGCUAAACGUUGAUUGAUUCGAACUUGUAAGUGCAUAAGGGCAUUGUACAGCCCAAUUUUGGCCCGGGCUAAAACAAACCCAAACUAAUACCCAAUUACACAGGCCAAAACUAAACCAGUCCUAAUACCCAAUUACAUUAGCCCAAAGCCACCAAUGGCCCGAGAUAAUUUUCAAAACAGAAACCCUAGCCCCUCUUUCCCUAUGCGUCUCUGCCUUCAUGUGCUAAGUCAGCACGCUUGUCGCCCGAAAACCACCAUUCUUGGCAUCUUGCACCAAAAUGGUAACCUUGCCUCGUUGACCUUCCUCCAACCUGCAAACAAACCAAAAGGAGAACAGAAACAGCAAAGGCAAAUAGCAGCAAAAAUAAACAAAAGAAAAUGACAAUAAUAUGUAUUCAGCUAUAUAGCCACAAGAACUUCAAUGUAAUAUUUUUAUAGACAGAUUUCGAAUACCAAAAAAAAAAGAGAGCAAAUCCAAAGUUCUUUUAGUUUCUAUAAGGUAUUGUUCAAUAUUGCAUCAUCUAUUUUCAACAUAGAAAAAUAUAUCAAUAUAUUUUCGAAAUAAAUUUUCUUACCUUUGUUACGAAUCGAAAAGUGGAAAGUUUUUUUCUAUUUUCUUUACUUUUUUGGAUUUUUCAUCUCAAAAACGGGCCAAGGGAGGAGAAAUGGCCAAAAUGGCCUUUUUCCGGUGAACUCCGGCCAUCGCGGACAACGGUCACCAUCGCCAGCGGCUGGUGGCGACAGCGGAGCCACGGUGGCGCUCUAUGGCCAGCCUAGGGUUUCUUUGGGGAGAAAAAGGGAGAAGGGGCUUGUUUUUUUUUAAGGGAAGAGGUAGAAUGAUUUUUUUUAAAAAGAAUUUUCACUUAUAUAGGCUACAUAAAAUGACGCCAUUUUGAAAGUUGAGUUCAGAGGCCAAACGACGUCGUUUUGACCUCUAACCCGUGGCCCGACCCAUUUGCCUUCAGAAUCCGAGUGUUUUUAAUCAGAAUGGUUAAUUGCGCUUUUAGCCCUUCUGCUUUUCUAUUGUUUUGCAAUCAAGUUUCUUUCAUUUUAAUUUUUGCCCUUUAAUUUAUUUUGAUUUCAAUUCGGUCCUCCCAAAUGCUAUGCGUUUUGGAAGAGAAGGGAAAAUAUCCCAUUUAGUCCCUUCUUGUUAUUCGCGCGUUCAAUGUGGUCCUUUUCCUUUUUUAUUUAUUUCAGAUUUGCCCCGAAUUUUAGUUUUGAGUUCAAUUUUAGUCAUUUUUCGGUUAUUUUUGCUAUUUUAUUAGUAAAAUUAGUUAAUUUAUUAUUAUUCUUAUUAAUGUAUAUUAUUAUUCUUAUUAAUGUAUUCUUAUUAUUGUACUAUUGCUAUUAUUUUUAUUAUUAUCACUAUUAUAAUUAUAUUUCCUUUCUAUGCUUAUGUAUUUAUUUAUUAUUAUUAUAUUUUGUAUUAUUAUUACUAUUAUUAUAUCUCUAUUUACUUACCUAGAUUUUAAACAUACUUUAUUUUAUUAUAUAUUCUCAUUAUUUAUUGACUUAUAUCCUUUUAUGGUUUCUAACUUUAAAUUAUUUGCUAUUUUAUUAUUAAUAUUACUAUUGUUAUUUACUUAUUUAUACUUUUUUCAUAUAAUUUCAAACUUUAUUUAUUUUUUUAUUAAUGUUAUUAUUUAGCCGAUUUACAUACCAUUUACAUGCGUAUUUGUUUACCAUUAUUUUAGUUCUAUUUAUUAACUUUCUUUUAUUUGUAAUCCAUUUAUUUGUUUGUUUAUUUAUUCUCGUCCCUUUUUUGUGAUCGUCAUUGUGUUUAUAUUAUUUUAUGCAUAUUAACAUCAUAAUUCAUUUUCCAUUUUACUACAAAAUCGUAUUACAUUAACCUUCACUUGAUACAUAUUUUUUUUUAAAAAAAAUAAGCGAUACUCCGUGUUUCGAGAUUCGAAAAAGUUGUUCCCUAACUCACGGGGUUUCGAUUUUCUCAAUAAAUCCAAGUAUACGAGUCCCUUUUGUAAACAUGAGUUUUUUUUCAAAUAAUCUCGAGAAUUAAGAAAAGAUCGUAUUCUAACUUACGGGAUAUGAUUUCUUUCUAAAACCGAGAUAAUCAAACAUUUUCCAAAAUAAAUAAUUUCCGGUGUUUAUUGUAACGCCCCAAUUUUCGAGAAUUCUGUGAAUGUUGGCAUAUGUUUAAUUAUGUUAGUGGGCCUCUAGAAGGCCCAAGCUUUAGAUAGAACCCGACAAUUUUAGUUAAUUUUUGUUCUAUAAGAAAAAGGGGGUGAAAUUAUGAAAUAGAACCUAUGUGAAAAUGUUUGAAAAUGCUAUAGGCUAAAUUGAAGUAGCCAAAUAAAUAGGAGUGCAAAAUAGGAGGAUUUGCAUGACAAACCUCCCAUUUUACAUGAAGUGGCUAGCCAUCAUGUUGUUGUAGACAAAAUGUGCACUUGAUAUCCAUAAUGUAUGGUACAAAUUGAUACAAAUUGAUAAUAGGUUAGGUAAAUGUUCCAUGAUAAUGGGUUAGGUAAAUGUUUCAUGAUAAUGGGUUAGGUAAAUAUUUGAUGAUAAGAAUUUCAUGUCUUUUGUAUUAAAGAAUUAAAUGGAUGAAAUAUGAAGUUUUAUUAAAAGAAAAAGGGGUGAAAAGAACAAAGUUUUGUCCAUCUUUGUUCAUCAUAGCUGAAAGUUAGAAAAGAGAAAGGAGAGGAGAAAGCUCUUGAGUAUUCGGUCAUUAGGAGGAGGAAAAUUGAAGGUAAGUUCUUGGUACCUUGCUUCUAUUUUGAGGUUCAUGAGUUCUUCUUGAUUCUACCUUAACUCUUGAAGUAUAUUUUGAUUUUUAGUUGUGUUGUGAGCAUUUAGUCAUGAAUUAAAAUGAAGGAAAUGGUUGUUGUUUCAUGUUCUUUUGAUGAAAAAUGGAAGAUAGGUGAAGUUGAGCCAAACAAAUGAGCAUGCAUGUGCCUUAGAUGUUAAAGGGAAAAAUCAGCUAACAUGUUGUACUUUAAAAUGAUGAAAUGGAGAUUAUACUUAAGUAAAAUCAUAGAUAUGUGAUGAUUGAUUGGUGAUAUACAUGUUUAAAUAACAAGCAUGCAAGUUAGGUGUGAAAGAGUGAUUUGGUAAUAAAUCUGCUUGGGACAGCAGCAGUAACGUGACUUUGGAAAAUCACCAUAAAUUGUGGGAGAUGAGUUAGAAGCUGCAUAAAUUAUGUAAUUAAAGCUUAAUGAGUCUAGUUUCAAAUGGAAUAAACUAGAACAUAUUUUGAAUUCUGUACAAUGAGAAAUUUGAUUCGUAAUGAAGAGUGGUCAGAUUAGUCAAACAGUGAAACAUGGGAAACUUUAAGAAAAAUUUGGUAUGGAUUGGCCAUACCAAAAAUUCUGAAAAUUUUAUGGAUAGAAUAUAUAUGAGUCUAUUUUCAGAGAAAAUUAACGGCACUUGAUUUGGAGUUUCGUAGCUCCAGUUAUAAAUGAUUUAGUGACUGUUGUUCAGGAAGACAGCUUGCAGUGAAAUUAUGAUUAUGUGGUAAACAUUGACAAAAAUUUGUUAAUGAGUUGCUUAUUGAUUUCUUAUAAGCUUACUAUGAUCUGUAGGUGUGGUUGGCCGAAUAUUGUAAGGGGUUAAUACGUAGUUUGUAUUUGAAUAGUUAGAUUAACGUGUUAGUAAUCCAAUUGUAGGCGGUUCGUGUGUGGAUCUCGUCAGCAUAUCGUCGCAAACAGGUGUGUAACUAACACCCUCUUUCUUAGUCUAGAUCGGCAAAAGUCGAAAAGUCGAAAUGCCAAAAACCGGUAUUUUGUAGAUUUGCGAGUGUGCGGAUGCUCGUGAGGUAAAUCGAUUAAUGUUUUUGGUAAGUUACAAUGUGUGGACUGCAAAGUGCAUGAUUUCUGUGCCCUCGAUAUUUUUGGGCCUGAUGGGCCAAAAUUGGAAUGAUGGGCCAACAGGCCCAAUUCGGUAAGAACCCUCGGUACGUGAUUCUGUAGUACGUGAAAGGUAGGAAUAUGCAUGAAAAACCCUAAAAUAUCGAAAUACCCCUAGUGUUAAAUUGACUUAAAUGCAUGUUUGACUGUUGUUAUUUACUGCAUGCCAUGUUGUUAUUAUCUGAUGCAUGGGACUGGGAUAUUGACGGAGGAAGUACUGAAAGUGGCUUGUCCACGUACUGAAGGUGGCUUAUCCACGUACUGAAGGCUUUGCCUCAAUUUACUGUUAACUGAGCAGCAAUGCUGCAACUGUGGAGUGUUGGGCUGGGUGGGUUGAGCUAUCCCCACAUGGAGUGUAUGGCUGGUACGGGUGGAGUGUAGUGGUUGGUGGGUUGAGUAGUCUCCCCAAAUGGGCUUGCAUAUGUUAUUGAUGUUGCAUGUAUUUUGAAAUGGGCCUAUGGGCCAUAUUGUUAUCUGAAUAAGGGGCUAAGGCCCAGUUUAUUGUAAUCUGAAAAGGGCUCUGGCCCAGUACCACUGUUACCUGAAUGGGCUUAGGCCCAAUAGGCUUGAGCUGACUUGGGCUUUGAAUGAGUUUUCCUUACAGACUGAGUUUCCCCAAACUCACCCCUUUUAUUUUCAUCCACGCAGGAAAUCCCCAACCAUAGUGGGCUUGGAGCUGUGAGGGAAUUCAGAGUGGCCACCCGUUUUGAAAGUUUGAUUUUCUUCUGGUGAACUGGACAUCCUUUUAUUUACGUUUGAAGUUUUGGGUUUUUAAAUGUAAUAAGGCCGCUUAAUUAUUUUUGAUGGUUUUAAUAUGUAUUACUAAGAUAGGUAUUAAUUAUUUUAACUGUUGAAAUUGGAUAGCUUUAGGGCGCGUUUUCAAAAACAACAAUUGAUUUCAAAAUAACACAACAAUAAGCAAAGCUUCCGCAAUGAAAGUAUUUUCCAAAAUUAAUCACUUUUCCUAAAAAUGACUUAAUCAAAUCGGUUUCCUAGAAGUAUCCAUGAUGUUAAGGUGUGGCAAUGGCGGUAUGCAUGUCUAGGAUUGGAUCCGUAGGGAGCUUGGUACUUAAGCAGUCUGAUGGACUCACCACCUCUUUUCCGGUUUCCUACCUAGUGCACAGCUUCCAUUCACUUUAAUCCUUAAUGAAUUAAUCUUUUGAACAUCAAGUACGAUUUUCUGGACUUAGAAUGGAAAUUUUUUUUAACGUUUUUGAUGUGGCAUGCCGGAUCCGGCCAUAACUUCUGAGCUGGGUUUUGGGGUGCUACAUUUAGUGGUAUCAGAGCCUAGGUUGCAACAACUCGGCUGUGGAAUGGGUUUACAAAAAUAAAGAUUUUCGAAAACGAAAAUUUUAUAAAGAAUACAAAAACUCGAUUUUCAAAAUUUAGAUCUUUAGAAGAUAGCAUUCCUAAUCUCCGGCUCAAGUCUGUAAGUAUUACUCUGAACUCUUCUAAAUAUUUUUCUGAAUUAUCUGCCUGUACUGAAACCCUACUAGGAUACUCUAGAUAGGAUGAUUCUGAAACCAUAGGAAAAUCUGAUAAGAGACUGAAACUAUAGCUAGACUUCGAUUCUGCGAAAACAAACUUUGAAUUACUGUCUGAUUCAUAAAACAUCUGUAAUAAACACUGGAAUAUUGAAUUGAUGCAUAAAAAUUCGUAAUCAAGAUAAAUCGAUAUGAGUACGAGAGCUACUCGGGGAAGAGGCCGUGGUCGAGGCUGAGGUAGUACUCAAGCUGGAUCUUCGUCUUCUGAACACUUACCCACUGGAGUAGCACGACCACCACCGACAGAUGAGAAUGGGCCGUAUGAUAGGGCCGCCGAGGAUGAUGCCCUAUCACAGGCAAUGCUUCGUGUUCUGGAAAGGGUUGCCGGAGUAAGUUCGGGCAACGAAAUUCAGGGAUCUAUUUCUGAAUGACUUCGGGACUAACGGAACGGAGAUCUUUAAGGGCGUGUCUGGUAUAGCCCCGAAUAUGGCGGAAUAUUGGUUAGAGGCCACAGAACGGAUUACGGACGACUUGGACUGCUCUGAGGAGAUUGUGAGUGGGGUAGCUAUACUAAGUCCCUUGGGUCACUCGGUUAGGGUAGACAAACUGUAUAGAAAUGUACCCUUAGAAACUCAAGGUAAGGUUUUUCCUGGAGAUCUGAUGGAGUUACCGUUCAGAGAGUUUGACCUCAUUCUGGGAAUGGAUUAGCUUGUUAAGCAUAAGGCGACUCUGGAUUGUGCUGCUAAACGAAUGGUGUUAAGGACCACAAAGGAUGAGGAGGUUAUGGUGAUAGGUGAGCGAAUGGAUUAUUUGUCCAAUGUGGUGUCGGCUUUAAGAGUCGAAAAGUGGAGUCAGAAAGGUUGUGAGGCCUAUUUGGCAUUUGUAAGUCAGUCAGAAGAGGAGGGAUUGACAGUGGAUAAGGUUAGGACCGUAAAGGAGUUCCAAGAUGUUUUUCUGGAGGAGCUUCCAAGAUUGCCUCCGAACCGAGAAGUUGAGUUUGGAAUAGAUUUGUUGCCUGGAACGGCGCCCGUGUCCAUCGCACCGUAUAGGAUGACACCGAAGGAGUUAGUGGAGUUAAAGGCUCAAAUUCAAGAGUUGUUGGAUAGGGGCUUCAUUAGGCCAAGCGUGUCUCAAUAGGGAGUACCGGUGCUAUUCGUGAAAAAGAAGGAUGGUACGAUGCGAAUGUGCAUUGAUUAUCGCCAGUUGAACAAACUGACGAUUAAAAAUAAGUAUCCACUACCAAGGAUUGACGAUCUGUUUGACCAGCUUAGAGGGGUUUCUAUAUUUUCUAAGAUUGACCUCUGAUCUGGAUAUCAUCAGUUAAGGGUCAAGGAGGCGGAUAUCCAUAAGAUGGCAUUCAGGACUCGGUAUGGUCAUUACGAGUUUUUGGUUAUUCCAUUUAGACUGACGAACGCUCCUGCAGCAUUUAUGGAUCUGAUGAAUCGGGUGUUCCAACCAUUCUUGGAUCGAUUCGUAGUCGUCUUCAUUGAUGAUAUCCUGAUACAUUCUGAAACUGAAACGAAACAUGAUGAGCAUCUCCUUAUAGUGCUGCGAGUGUUAAGAGAGAAGGAACUCUUUGCAAAGUUCAGCAAGUGUGAAUUUUGGUUGAGGGAGGUAACCUUCUUAGGACAUGUGGUCUCUGCUGAGGGGAUUAAGGUGGGCCCUCGAAAAAUUGAAGCAAUUUUGGAGUGGAAGGCACCUAGGACAGUGUCGGAAAUACGGAGUUUCCUAGGACUGGCAGGAUACUACAGAAGGUUUGUAGAAGGUUUUUCUGUUAUGGCAGCACCCCUGACAAAACUCAUAAGGAAAGGAGAACCGUUUGUAUGGACUGAGAAGCAACAGCGAGCUUUUAAGAAGUUGAAGAAAGUUCUGACUGAAGCAACUGUGUUAAUUCAGCCGGAGUCUGGGAAGGAUUUUACUAUAUACAGUGACGCAUCACACGUAGGUUUGGGCUGUGUGUUAAUGCAGGAGGGUAAGGUGGUUGCAUAUGUAUCACGACAGCUUAAACCUCACGAAGGGAACUAUCCGACUCAUGAUUUAGAGUUGGCAGCAGUGAUAUUUGCACUUAAAAUUUGGAGACAUUACUUGUACGGAGAAAGGUGUAUUAUAUACACAGACCACAAGAGUCUUAAGUAUUUGUUGACUCAGAAGGAGCUGAACCUUAGGCAAAGGAGAUGGAUUGAGUUGCUUAAGGAUUAUGACUGUUCGAUCGAGUAUCACCCAGGCAAGGCUAAUGUGGUAGCUGAUGCUUUAAGUCGUAAAACCGUAUCUGAUCUGAGAGCAAUGUUUGCUCGUUUGAUUCUGUAUGAUGAUGGCAGUUUGUUGGCUGAAUUGCAAGUAAGGCCAACAUGGGUGGAUCAGAUUAAGGAAAAGUAGUUGAACGAUGAGUCUUUGGUCGCUCGUUUUCAACAAGUUAAGGAAAUGGGAAACUUCUGAGUUUGGGUUAAAUGGCGAAGGAGUUCUGUGUUUCCGAGGAAGAAUUUGUGUUCCGAAGGACUCUAAUUUGAGGCAGACAAUAUUGAAGGAAGCUCAUUGAGGACUUUGUACCAUGCACCCUGGAGGGAACAAGUUGUAUCACGACUUACGAGAAUUGUACUGGUGGUCUGGACUUAAACGAGAAGUAACGAAGUUUGUAGGGAAAUGUCUGACAUUGUAGCAAGUGAAAGCUGAGCAUCAAUUACCCUCUGGACUGUUACAGUCAGUGAAGAUACCACUUUGGAAGUAGGAGAGGGUAACCAUGGACUUUGUGAGUGGGCUGCAUUUGACACCAUCAAAGAAAGACUUGGUGUGGGUGAUUGUGGAUAGGUUGACCAAAUCAGCCCAUUUCAUACCUGUUCGUACUGACUUUUCACUUCAAAAGUUAGCCAAGUUGUAUGUGGCAGAGAUUGUGCGACUUCAUGGAGUCCUAGUUUCAAUUAUUUCUGAUCGGGAUCCCAGAUUUACAUUUCAGUUUUGGCAAAGGUUGCAUGAGGCGUUGGGGACGCGAUUGAAUUUUAGUACGGCUUUCUAUCCCCAAACUGAUGGUCAGUCAGAGAGGGUUAUUCAGAUUCUGGAGGACAUGUUGAGGGGAUGCGUGAUUGACUUUUGAGGUAGUUGGGAAGAUUACUUGCCGUUGGAAGAAUUUGCGUACAAUAACAGUUACUAGACGAGUAUUCGAAUGGCACCGUAUGAAGCACUGUAUGGACGAAGGUGUCGUACACCUAGUUGUUGGACCGAACUAGGAGAGCGACAAAUUCUUGGACCAGAGUUGGUAGCUGAUACUGAGGAUAAGGUCAGAAUAAUUAGGGACCGGUUAAAAGAAGCAUCUGAUAGGCAAAAGUCGUAUGCAGAUUUGAAGCGUAAGGAGAUUGAGUACUCAGUAGGUGAUAUGGUCUUCUUAAAGGUUUCUCCUUGGAAGAAGAUAUUAAGGUUCGGUAAGGUUCGGUAAGAAGGGCAAGUUGAGUUUGCGGUUCAUUGGGCCUUAUCGUGUUUUGAAGCGAGUAGGCCCAAUGGCUUAUUAGUUGGAAUUGCCUCCAGAGUUAGACAGGAUUCACGAUGUUUUUCACGUCUCCAUGUUAAGGCGUUAUCGUGCUGACCCUGCUCAUGUCCUGCCAGUUGCAGAAAUCGAAGUUCAGACUGAUUUGACCUUUGAGGAGGAGCCUGUGCAAAUAUUGGCUCGAGAUAUUAAGGUUCUCAGAAGGAAAUCUGUCCCGUUAGUGAAAGUACUUUGGCGUAAUCAUGGAAGGGAAGAAGCUACUUGGAAAUCAGAAGAGACUAUGCGUCAACAAUACCCUCAACUAGUUGGAUUAGGUAAAUUUCGAGGAUGAAAUUUCUUUAAGGAGGGUAGAGUUGUAACGCCCCAAUUUUCUGGAAUUCUGUGAAUGUUGGCAUAGGUUUAAUUAUGUUAAUGGGCCUCUAGAAGGCCCAAGCUUAAGAUAGAACUCGGCAAUUUUAGUUAAUUUUUGUUCCAUAAGAAAAAUGGGGUGAAAUUAUGAAAUAGAACCUAUGUGAAAAUGUUUGAAAAUGCUAUAGGCUAAAUUGAAGUGGCCAAAUAAAUAGGAGUGCAAAAUAGGAGGAUUUGCAUGACAAACCUCCCAUUUUACAUGAAGUGGCUAGCCAUCAUGUUGUUGUAGACAAAAUGUGCACUUGAUAUCCAUAAUUUAUGGUACAAACUGAUACAAAUUUAUAAUAGGUUAGGUAAAUGUUCCAUGAUAAUGGGUUAGGUAAAUGUUUCAUGAUAUUGGGUUAGGUAAAUGUUUCAUGAUAAGAGUUUCAUGUCUUUUGUAUUAAAGAAUUAAAUGGAUGAAAUAUGAAGUUUUAGUAAAAGAAAAAGGGGUGAAAAGAACAAAGUUUUGUCCAUCUUUGUUCAUCAUAGCUGAAAGUUAGAGAAGAGAAAAGAGGGGAGAAAGCUCUUGAGUAUUCGGUCAUUAGGAGGAGGAAAAUUGAAGGUAAGUUCUUGGUACCUUGCUUCUAUUUUGAGGUUCAUGAGUUCUUCUUGAUUCUACCUUAACUCUUGAAGUAUAUUUUGAUUUUUAGUUGUGUUGUGAGCAUUUAGUCAUGAAUUAAAAUGAAGGAAAUGGUUGUUGUUUCAUGUUCUUUUGAUGAAAAAUGGAAGAUAGGUGAAGUUGAGCCAAACAAAUGAGCAUGCAUGUGCCUUAGAUGUUAAAGGGAAAAAUCAGCUAACAUGUUGUGCUUUAAAAUGAUGAAAUGGAGAUUACACUUAAGUAAAAUCAUAGAUAUGUGAUGAUUGAUUGGUGAUAUACAUGUUUAAAUAACAAGCAUGCAAGUUAGGUGUGAAAGAGUGAUUUGGUAAUAAAUCUGCUUGGGACAGCAGCAGUAACGUGACUUUGGAAAAUCACCAUAAAUUGUGGGAGAUGAGUUAGAAGCUGCAUAAAUUAUGUAAUUAAAGCUUAAUGUGUCUAAUUUCAAAUGGAAUAAACUAGAACAUAUUUUGAAUUCUGUACAAUGAGAAAUUUGAUUCGUAAUGAAGAGUGGUCAGAUUAGUCAAACAGUGCAACAUGGGAAACUUUAAGAAAAAUUUGGUAUGGAUUGGCCAUACCAAAAAUUCUGAAAAUUUUAUGGAUAGAAGAUAUAUGAGUCUAUUUUCAGGGGAAAUUAACGGCACUUGAUUUGGAGUUUCGUAGUUCUAGUUAUAAAUGAUUUAGUGACUGUUGUUCAGGAAGACAGCUUGCAGUGAAAUUAUGAUUAUGUGGUAAACAUUGACAAAAAUUUGUUAAUGAGUUGCUUAUUGAUUUCUUAUAAGCUUACUAUGAUCUGUAGGUGUGGUUGGCCGAAUAUUGUAAGGGGUUAAUACGUAGUUUGUAUUUGAAUAGUUAGAUUAACGUGUUAGUAAUCCAAUUGUAGGCGGUUCGUGUGUGGAUCUCGUCAGCAUAUCGUCACAAACAGGUGUGUAACUAACACCCUCUUUCUUAGUCUAGAUCGGUAAAAGUCGAAAAGUCGAAAUGCCGAAAACCGGUAUUUUGUAGAUUUGCGAGUGUGCGAAUGCUCGUGAGGUAAAUCGAUUAAUGUUUUUGGUAAGUUACAAUGUGUGGACUGCAAAGUGCAUGAUUUCUGUGCCCUCGAUAUUUUUGGGCCUGAUGGGCCAAAAUUGGAAUGAUGGGCCAACGGGCCCAAUUCGGUAAGAACCCUCGGUACGUGAUUCUGUAGUACGUGAAAGGUAGGAAUAUGCAUGAAAAACCCUAAAAUAGAUAAAUUACUGAAAUACCUUUAAAAGUGAAAAAUUUACAGUUUUACCCCUAGGAGAUAAAUUACCGAAAUACUCCUAGGGUUAAAUUGACUUAAAUGCAUGUUUGACUGUUGUUAUUUACUGCAUGCCAUGUUGUUAUUAUCUGAUGCAUGGGACUAGGAUAUUGACGGAGGAAGUACUGAAAGUGGCUUGUCCACGUACUGGAGGCUUUGCCUCAGUUUACUGUUAACUGAGCAGCAAUGCUGCAACUGUGGAGUGUUGGGCUGGGUGGGUUGAGCUAUCCCCACAUGGAGUGUAUGGCUGGUACGGGUGGAGUGUAGUGGUUGGUGGGUUGAGUAGUCUCCCCAAAUGGGCUUGCAUAUGUUAUUGAUGUUGCAUGUAUUUUGAAAUGGGCCUAUGGGCUAUACUGUUAUCUGAAUAAGGGGCUAAGGCCCAGUUUAUUGUAAUCUGAAAAGGGCUCUGGCCCAUUACCACUGUUACCUGAAUGGGCUUAGGCCCAAUAGGCUUGAGCUGACUUGGGCUUUGAAUGGGUUUUCCUUACAGACUGAGUUUCCCCAAACUCACCCCUUUUAUUUUCAUCCACGCAGGAAAUCCCCAACCAUAGUGGGCUUGGAGCUGUGAGGGAAUUCGGAGUGGCCACCCGUUCUGAAAGUUUGAUUUUCUUCUGGUGAACUGGACAUCCUUUUAUUUACGUUUGAAAUUUUGGGUUUUUAAAUGUAAUAAGUCCGCUUAAUUAUUUUUGAUGGUUUUAAUAUGUAUUACUAAGAUAGGUAUUACUUAUUUUAACUGUUGAAAUUGGAUAGCUUUAGGGCGCGUUUUCAAAAACAACAAUUGAUUUCAAAAUAACACGACAAUAAGCAAAGCUUCCGCAAUGAAAGUAUUUUCCAAAAUUAAUCACUUUUCCUAAAAAUGACUUAAUCAAAUCGGUUUCCUAGAAGUAUCUAUGACGUUAAGGUGUGGCAAUGGCGGUAUGCAUGUCUAGGAUUGGAUCGGAAGGGAGCUUGGUACUUAAGCAGUCCGAUGGACUCACCACCUCUUUUCCGGUUUCCUACCUAGUGCACAGCUUCCAUUCACUUUAAUCCUUAAUGAAUUAAUCUUUUGAACAUCAAGUACGAUUUUCUGGACUUAGAAUGGAAUUUUUUUUUUAACAUUUUUGAUGUGGCAUGCCGGAUCCGGUCAUAACUUCUGGGCCGGGUUUGGGGUGCUACAUUUAUCUUCGUUUCAGAGAUUUAAGAUAUUGUGUCCUAACUUACGGGACAUAAUUUUUUCCCUCGAUUAACGUGAAAUACGUCAUUUUCUCAAAAUAAAAUUAAUUAAAUAAUAUUUUAACAAAUGAUCAUUUUUUUAAAAUCUUAUUGAUUCUCGACACUAAGACAUUAAUUAAUCAACUAGGUACCAAUUUUGGGUGUCACGAGGGUGCUAAUCCUUCCUCGUGCGUAACCGACUCCCGAACCCAUCUUCUUAAUUUUGUAGACCAAAAAGUGUUGUUUUAAUAAAUCAAAUCGUUUAUUAAAAACAACCAUCUUAUGAGGUGAGCCGAUCACACCUCAUCAAAAAAGAUUGGUGGUGGCUCCUAUGUUCGUUUCCAUUUUCAAAAUCAAAGUUGACCCUAUUUUUCAAAAAAAUAGUUUCGACAGCUUGGCGACUCCACUGGGGACUUAAAAAAGAGAGUCAAGCCACGAGUUGAUUACUUUUUGUCUUUUUGUCAAAAAUUGAAAACUUGGUUUAAAUGUACGAUUCUGUCGUUGCAUUUCAUCCGUCUUUGUUAAUAUCUUCAUUAUUGUGGUUUAUAAAUUACUGUGUUGGUUUGAGUUUUGGUAUCUUUCUGCACAUUGCAUCGCAUGAUCGGUUGAUCUUACCCUUUUAAGUGGAAGUGAGAAACUAUUCCUUUGUGAGGUUUUCACCUCCGUGUAGGAUAAUGGAUUAUUUUCAAAAUACAUCCGUACCUAUGUCUUCGUGAGAUUUUCAUCUCCGUGCAGCCAUAGGGAAAUGUAUUUCCCUAAAUUGAACUCGGUCUAUAUGAGCCUAUAAUGUGUGAGGAUCGAGGAAUCUGCUGAUUCAAGUACCUUUAUUUUAGAACUGAACUGCAUAUAGAAAGCCGUAGGAGCCCGCCUUAGGUAGAGCUACACCGAACCCUAGUGGUUACCCUAGCAGGUGCUUUAUUUAUUAUUUCUUGCUUGCUUUAAAUUAUGUAUGAAAUACUGACUUGUUUUAUUUUACUUUGAUUAUAUUUGCAUGGCAUUUUCAUCACAAAAAAUAUGUUGAUUCACAUUCAGUUGCUAAAUAGAAAGCUUACCAUGGAGAACGAAUUUUUUGAUAAAGUGGAAGAUAAUACGGCUAUCCGUAUAUGGUCAGAGAGAACGCAAUUAGAGAAAGGUGAUAGUUUGGCAGAUGGAUACAUAUUGGAAUUAUGAUACUUCAUCCGUAUCAGCGCAACACAAAAUGAUCUCCAAGAAUUGAAAGAGAUAUGGGUCAAUUGGGACGAUGAAGUCAAGCAACUAUUUUACAGUAAUUAUAGUGAUCUGCCCUAUCUACUCGACAUCAAGGUGGACAAGCACUUGCUUCGAGCUCUGACUCAAUUUUGGAAUUUCGCCUACAGUUGUUUUACCUUUGGGAAUGUGGAUUUGGUACCUACAGUAGAGGAGUAUACAACCCAACUUCGUUGUCCAAAGAUUCAAGCUGACAAAGCCUAUUCUAGAGCCGCUAAUGUCCCGAAUUUCGUGAAGAAAUUAAUGAAUAUCAUGGGAAUGAGUGAACAGUGGGUCGCAGCUCGUCUCAAGCAGAAAGGAGGAAGCAAAUGUAUUCCUUAAAAAGCUUGUGAGAUAUGAUUUUGGCAUACCCGGAUGUGAAGAAAAGGGUUAAUGUUUUUGCUUUGAAUAUUUGCGGGCUGAUAGUUUUCCCUAUAGCGCUAGGGUACAUGGAUGAAGCGAUUUCUGAUUUGUUUGACAGGUUUGAUAAGAGGGUCACGCCGGUUCCUGCGAUUUUGGCUAAAACAUUCAGAUCUUUGUAUGCGUACCAGAGAGCGGGUGAGGGAAGAUUUAUCGGAUGUGCGCAACUAUUGCUAGCUUGGUUCCACAGCCAUUUCUAGAAAAUAGAAAAAGUCUCGUAUCGAGUGUUCUCGGAGAAUUAUUUUUCUUUGAAAGAAAUAGUUGCUAUACCGAGGUGGGAUGAUAUAUCGGAGGAAAGAUAGAUAACAAUCCUCCAAAAUUUCCAAGAAGAAGAUGUUGAGUGGAGAGCCCAUUGGAUGGUCCCCAAUGAGAUUCUGUACCGGUGUGGGGAUUUUGACUGGGUCCCCCUACUUGGGAUUUGGGGAGCCAUCGGAUACGCUCCUUUUCUCGUUUUGAGGUAGUACAGAUCGAGACAGUUCAUACCAGCAACCCAAGGGCUAGCUCAGUGCGAGUUUUCAUAUAGGGGCAUAACUAUAAGAAAAAAGUACGGGAAAUGUCCAACGCUUGGAAUCAGACUUGCCGGAUGAAAAGAUUGGUUGUAGGUCCGAUGACGACCCCUGAGUAUAAAGGGUGGUGAAGUAAAAGAAUCAAUGACAACAUAAAGCAGGAUUUGGAUGGGCCAAGUCAAGAAGGCGUGCGAUCAAUGGAAGAAUACCUGCAAGUAGUCCCAUCCGAGCUAGAGAUCAUAAGACAGGAUUUCGAGAAAAGAAUUCGAAUCUAGGAAAGAAGAUCAAGAAUUGGAGGAAGAAAAAAUACAUUUAAGAUUGGAUGUUGAUGUUCAAAAAUUAAAAACCGAGAAAUUAAGAAAUGGAAGGAAUAAGGAUGAAGAGGAUUUGGAUAGUCUGAAAAUGAAUUACAAGAAGCUGUGUUUAUCAAUAAAAACCACUAGAUUGGGAAAAAUAUAGGAGCAAUGACUACAUGAGAUUCAAGAAGAAAAGAUCAAAGCCAAUUGGUAGGAGAGAAAAUUCCAAGAGGCUUAGGUUCGGAAAGAGGCUUUAGAAAAGAGUUUAUCGAAAACCCAAAAUGAGAAAUUCGAGUUAAAAGCUAGAGUGGUAGAAAUGGAAAAUUCACUCCAUUGUAUCGUAGUCGAAACUUUGCAAUUAAGCUGAAGGCGAGCUUGAACAAGAUUGAAGAGCUGAAAAUGAAGGUAGAAUAGCUUGAGACUACGUUACAAAACUGUGGGCUCUGGGUCGAACUUCUUGAAGCAAACAAUGAGCAGUGUAAGGAGCAACUCCACUGAUCUCAGGGUCUAGUUAAGGAUAAAGACUAUAUUAUGGGUGAAGCCGUGGCUCAGAUACGAGAGGUGGUUGAUCAUCUACAAACCUUGGCAGUCCAGGCUGAUGUACUGAGUUUGAAAUAUGAGUCAGAGUCAAACCAGGGCUGAGAGCUAGCUUGGCUACUUAGAAAAGUUAAAACUUUGAGCAUCAGGGCAAAGCCAUAUGUGUAAUUUGUUUUAUGUAAAGAAAUUUGUUUUCUAGUAAAGUUUUCCUAACAUAAUUGAAUCAGAAUCAAUGUCUCUUUUUGCAUUCAUUUCAUGCAUUUGCAUUACAUCACAUCAUAUGCAUUAAAUUUCAUGAAAAGACCCUAAUUAAAACAAAAUUAUUUUAGUUAAUCUGGAAACCAAUAAGAGUCAACCAACUGAACAUUGUUAUAGUACUCGCGCUAAAACCAAAGAAAUGGACCAAAGAUUGGAAUAGUUUCAAAAAAAGAUGCAAGACCAAUUACAAACACAAUUGCAAGAACAAUUAGUGAAAGUACAAUAAGAGUUGAGGGAUCAGAUACUAGAAUCCCAAAGAAACAUGAUGAGCCAAUUGGCACAGUUACUAACUGAAGAACAUGAAAAAGGGAAGAACAUUGCAAUCAACUCAGGGGAUGAUAAUGAGGAUCCCAUUUAUCCCCCGGUUUUUAUCCCAAUGAAUGGUCAAGCACAGCCAGAGGUGUACCUACGAAGGGUACCCGUUACGAUCAAACCCCAACAGCAUCAGACCAGUACCUCGGUGCCGAUGAACUACCAAACAGGUUUAGGUUCUAAUCCUGGGGAUAACUCAACCAAUCCCAUUGUUCUUGAUCUCGAUGAUAUGGCAGAAAUGGAAAAAAUAAGAGUGGAACUGCCAAAACAACUGGAGGAUCGAUGCAGAUGGCUGAAAGAAAAAUUCAGAGCAAUGGAGAACGCUGAUUACCAUUGCGAAAUUGACACCAAAGGCCUAAGUUUGGUCUCGGAUUUAGUGCUCCAUCCUAAGUUCAAAAUUCUAGAUUUUGAAAAAUAUAAUGGAACUAGUUGUCUAGAACACCAUGUUUUGUCAAAGGAUGACAUGAUACGUUCACAAUGAUCAACUAUUGAUCCAUUACCUCCAGGACAGUCUAAUCGGGUCUGCCACUAAAUGGUACAAUCAACUGAGUCGUGCCAAGAUUUAUUCAUGGAAAGAUCUAGCACAAGCUUUUAUGAAGCAGUACAGUCAUGUAACGGACAUGAUGCCCGACAGAAUCACAUUACAGAAUAUGAAGAAAAAUCAAAAUUAGAGCUUUAGGCAAUACGCCAAAUGGUGGAGAGAGAUAGCCACACAAAUCCAACCACCUCUGCUAGAAAAAGAAACGACUAUGCUCUUCAUUAAUACCUUGAAGGCACCUUUUAUUAGUCACAUGCUAAGAAGCGCAACUAAGAGUUUCUCAGACAUAGUGAUAUUUAGUAAAAUGAUAGAAAAUGCGAUAAGGUUUGAGAAAAUAGAGGCCGAGGAAAAUGCCAAAAGAUCAGCCCCGAGGAAAAAAAAACGAGGUGAAUAAUGUGAGCACAUAUAACAAAACUUAUUCUAAACCGAUCAUGGUAGCUCAGCCAAGGAUAGUGGCUACUAGCCAUCAGGGCCCUCCAAGUCAAGAUUCCAAUACAAGGCCAAAUACGGAAAGACCCCAAUUUACGCCCAUCCCAAUGACAUAUAGGGAAAUGUACCAGAGUCUAUUCGAUGCACAUGUGGUAUCCCCAUUCUAUCUGAAACCAUACAACCUCUAUUCCCUAAAUAGUAUGACGCAAACGUUCAAUAUAAGUACCAUACGGAAAUGACGGGGCACUCGAUCAAGAACUACACUACGUUCAAGAAGUUGAUCGAAAGAUUCAUUAAGAUGGGGAUCGUAAAAUUUGACGACUCAUCAGGACCUAAUGUAGCAAGAAAUCUAUUUUCUAAUCAUUCUGAUAAAAUGGUAAACACGAUAAUCGAGAGUGGGGAUAAGAGAAUCAAAGCUGACGCGGCGAAAGUGAAAACCCCACUGAAAUGGGUUUGGAAACAAAUGAUAAAUAGAGGUUUAAUAAUACAAGAUUCGGAGGAAAGGCCCAGAGGAAUAAGAAAAUACUGUGAGUUCCGUGCCAAGGGGAACAUGACAUCCAAGAAUGCACUGAGUUCAAAACCACCGUGCAAAAUCUGAUGGAUAAUAAAGAGAUGGAAUUUUAUGAAGAGAUCAAUGGAUCAAAAGAAGGAGAGGUUUAUGCCUCAGAGGAAGGAUCAACAGAAAGGGUCCAGAAAGUGAACCACCUGGUAGUGAUCGUUUCACGACCAAGAAAUGAUGAAGUAGGAGUAUGAAUGGCACCAAGAGUCAUAAUCCAAAAACCUGUAUUCUUUCCCUAUAAGGAUAGCAAAAGGGUUCCUUGGAACUAUGACUGCAACGUGAUAUUCUCGGGAGAGGAGAACCCGAUUAACGCUUCAGAAGAGGGUCAAAAUGUGAGUUUUUACACGCGUAGUGGGAAACGCUACGAUCCAGCGAAUUCAAGAGUGGAACCCGUAAAAGGAAAGGUCUUGGAGGUAGAAUAAGAAAAAGAAAAGACAAUUAAAGUCGAAUCACUUAUUAACGAGCCAGUGACUGAAAAAGAGGCUAGAGAAUUCUUGAAAUUCUUAAAGCACAUCAAGUACAGCAUUGUAGAACAGCUACAUAAGCAACUGGCUCACAUUUCAGUGCUAGCUUUACUUUUAAGUUCAGAGACACAUCAUAGUGUGUUAAUGAAAGUGCUAAACGAAACCUAUGUUGCGAAUGAUAUCUCUGCCAACAAACUGGACUAUCUUGUUAAUAAUAUAAGCGUCGAUAAUCUCAUGUUUUUUAAUGACGACAAAAUAUCACCAAGAGGAAUGGGGUUUACAAAGGCUCUACACAGCACCACUUGCUGUAAGGGAUAUACGUUACCGAGAGUAUUGAUUAAUAAUGGAUCUACAUUGAAUGUCCUACCCCUAUCCAUACUGAAUAGGCUACCAAUGGAUAGUUCCAUAUGAAGACAUGCCAAAGUAUAGUGAGGGCAUUUGACGACACCGAAAGGAAAGUAAUGGGGUGGAUUGAAAUACCAUUUUUAAUCGGUCCAAGCACCUACGAGGUGGAUUUCUUAGUGAUGGACAUCAAGCCUUCUUACAAUUGCUUAUUGGGGAGGCCAUGGAUUCACUCAGCGAGGGCAGUACUGUCAUUGCUGCAUCAACAGCUAAAGUUGGUAACCGAAGGUCAGCUAGUAAUGAUAAAUACGGAAGAAGACAUUAUUGCAUCCGUAACCAACAAUGCGCCUUAUGUGGGGACAAACGAUGAAGCGAUAGAAUGUUCCUUUCGAUCACUAGAAUUUGUGAACGCGACCUUCAUUGUCGAAGGAAACAAAAUUUCGGUGCCCAAAAUAUUCAAAAUUAUAAGGAUGGGCCUGCAACUGAGUGUUGGGAAAGGAGUUUCGCCUGGGAGGGGGCUUGAAAACGCCUACAAGGAAUGGUCGAGGUACCCAUACUCACGGACAAAUGAGAUUGCUUUGGCUUAGGAUACAAGCUAGAUGCGAGGCAAAAGAAGAAAGAGAUGGAAAAGAAACAAGAAAAAAGGAGAGCACGACUAAGCAGGGAAGAGGUCAAGUGGAAACCGAUGACCUUUCCCUAUGUAUCCAGAAUGUUCGUGUCAGGAGGAACCUUUCACCCUGAGCAAAAGAUGUCAAGGGGAGAAAUUACUGAAGAAAUGAUUGGAAGUUUGAACAUUAAUGCCAUAUCUGAAGAAGCAAUGAGAGAAGAAAACCUAUCAGACAUUCACCCUUAAGAAUCAGGGAACAUUUUGAGCAAUUGGAAUGCGGAGGAGAUUCCAGUAAUCUUUAGAAUUAAUUUAGAGUAAUGUUCAAAACACGCUUAUUGCUCUAGGCCUAUGAAUAAUAAAAACCAUUUUGUGAAAUAGGCUUAUUUCCAAUGAUCUUUAUUUUAAUAAAAUGCAUCUUUUGUCUCACUUUGAGCAAAUAUUCUUUUAUUCUUUCAUUCAUAAUCAUGCCAUACAAAUAUUUAUUCCUAGAUUCUUUUGUUCUUUUGAUCUUCCCUUGUUUCUAUAACAGGUGUCUGGAUGUCAAUGAUAUGAGUGAUGCUGCUAACGACUCAGAAUCUCCUUUUGAGCAAGAUAUGUAUGUGUCCAGAGGAACCCCAGGAUUUUGAAGAUGGUCAAGAAUGUAGUUUAUCUCCUGAUUUUUUAAUGAUGGUUGAAUAAGAUGAAAAACAUAUCCUACCGUACAAAAAAUAAGUGGAAUUCGUGAGUUUAGGAGAGGAUAAAGAGGUGAAGAUCGGAUCUUGCAUCACCGCAGAGACAAAACGUAAGGUCAUUGAAUUACUCCAAGAGUUUAAAGAUUUUUUCGCAUGGUUGUAUCAAGACAUGCCUGGGCUAAACACUGAUAUCGUGGUACACCAGCUCCCCAUAAAGGAAUAGUGCAAACCAGUCCAACAAAAGCUCCGAAGAAUGAGGCCUGAUGUCUUGCUGAAAAUAAAAGAAGAGGUUUGGAAACAAUUUGAUGCUGGUUUCUUGUAAGUGGUUAAAUACUUAGAAUGGGUAGCCAAUAUCGUCAUUGUCCUUAAAAAAAAUGGAAAAGUACGAAUGUGUGUAGACUACAGGGACUUGAACAAGGCCAGUCUGAAAGAUAAUUUUCCAUUGCCACAUAUCGACACUUUGGUGGACAAUAUGGCGGGUUAUUCAUUAUUCUCCUUCAUGGAUGAUUUCUCAAGAUACAACCAGAUAAAGAUGCAUCCUGAAGACAUGGAGAAGACCACCUUUGUAACCAUGUGGGGAAUAUUCUACUAUAAGGUGAUGUCAUUUGGACUGAAAAAUGCGGGAGCAACAUACCAAAGGGUCAUGGUAACCUUGUUUCAUGACAUGAUGCACAAGGAAAUCGAAGUUUAUGUUGAUGAUAUGAUCGCAAAAUACUGAACAGAGAAAGAACAUGUACAAGUCUUGAGGAAGUUGUUCUUAAGAUUGAGAAAAUUCCAGCUGAAGCUCAAUCUAGUAAAAUGUACUUUCGAAGCUAGGUCGGGAAACUGCUAGGAUUUGUAGUCAGUUAAAAGGAGAUCGAAAUUGACCAAUAUAAAGUGAAGGCUAUAAAAGAAUUGCCUCUACCACGCACUAAAAAAAGUUUGAGGUUUCCUAAGAAGACUAAAUUACAUCGCACGGUUCAUUUCACAACUAACUGAGAAAUGCAACCCUGUAUUCCGUCUCUUUAAGAAACAUAAUCCAGGCAUUUGGGAUGAGGAGUGCCAGAAGACUUUUGACAAGGUUAAGUAAUACUUGUCCAAUGACCCAGUGCUGACACCGCCUAGUCCAGAUAAGCCACUGAUACUAUAUUUAGCAGUAUUUGAGAAUUCUAUGGGAUGUUUGCUUGGCCAACACGAUGAGUCAGGAACGAAAGAAAGGGCAAUAUAUUAUUGAUGGUUGUGAAACUAACUAAAAAUUCGACUAAAGCAAGCGCACCUAUCGAAUAGUAGUAUAAUUAUGGUGAGAUCGGAAAUAUCGUAUCCAUGAGGACUAAAAGUACUAGUAAUUACUAUCUUUUUAUUAUCUAGCCUAACAAUUAAGAGAAUGUUUUAAACUAACACUAAUUAUCUAAUUAAGUAAGAUUGCAACAGAGAUUAAAGUUGGAAAGUACUUUUGAAAAAUCAAUGGAGAAGACAAUACCCAAGGAAGAAUUCACCUAGACUUCACUUAUUACCUUUGAAUUAGAUGAUUUAUUCACUUGACUUAAUCCGUAGGAAUCCCUGAUUUAUGUUAAUAUCUCUCUCGAGACUAAGAACAACUGAUUCUAGGUUGAUUAAUCGAAAUCUCUUUCUAAUUAAAACCCCUAUUGUCGUAUUAACUCGAUCUAUGGAUUCCCUUAAUAGAUUUGAUUCUAAUCCGGCAGAUUUAUGUCGUCCUAUCUCUACGAUGCAUGCAACUCCGCUUAAUUAUGAACAAUCUACUCUUAAACAGAGACUUUUCCUCCACUGAACAAGCACAUCAAAAACCUGAAUUAAUAUCCUAGAAUAUUAAAACAAAGGUUAAACUCACAAUUAAGAAUAAGAACAAGUAUUUAUCAUAUAACUCAAUGAGUAAUAAGAUUCGUCUUAGGUUUCAUAUUCCUUAGGUAUUUAGGGAGUUUAGUUCAUAAUAAUGGAAAACAUCUCAAAAAUUGGAAAACAACAAAACAUAAAGAAACCUAAAGAACUUCUAGGAAAUUUGAUGGAAAUCUUCAGUCUUGAUGUAGAUCCUCCUUCUGAGCUGAUCCUUGUAAUAGCCAAAAUUUUCAGUGGUGUCGGAAACAGUGAUUCGAGAUCACUAAAUCCGACGAGUAAGUUUAGAAAUUUUAACAAAUAAUAAUUAUAGGCCAAGCGCGAACUUAAAAGAAUUAUUUUUAAUUAGUGAAUUUUACGAUUUUGAAAGAAUUAAUCAGGUAAAUUGGGUUAAAAAUGAGGUAUCAUGACCCCAGAUUCAUAAACCGAGCCAUAAAUAUUUUUAUAAAUAUUUAUGGAGUGUUAUUAAGUUAGUACUAAAGUUUCUUUAGAAAAUUUUAACGUUUGGUUAGUCAAUUAAUUAAAAAGGACUAAAUUGAAAAUAGUGCAAAAUUUAUUAAAUUGUGAUUAAAUAGUUUAAGUGAUUAAAAAGGAGGGAUUUAAAAGGCAAUUGGACCCAAAUUGUAUGGGCUGGACUGUUGGGCAAGAAAAUCAGCAAAAAAGGUAAGGAGAAACAAUGGCAAAAUGGGAAAUUUUGCAAAUUAAACAUAUAAAGCAAGACAAAAUUGAAAAAUCUAGAGAUAUCAUCAUAUUUCUUUAGAAAAAAUGCCAUGGGAGGUCUGAAAGCUGCUGUUUUUUCAUACUUCGACAUAUGUGAGUUCAAUUCUUGCCCUUUUCUUUGAGAUUUUUAUGUUUUUGUGACUUUUACAAUUAGGUCCAAGUGUUUAAUUCAUUAGUUUUUGAUUUUAUGGACAAAAUUAAAAGCUACCAUUGAUAAGUGUUGGCUGUUUAUGAUGAAAUAAAAUGAAUUUUAAGCUUUGAUUUUGUUGUUUGAUGAUUUUAUCAAGUAAAUUCAAUAGAAAUUGAUUUUAGGACCUAAUUGUGAAAAAGUUGUGAAUUAAGGUUUAGUGUGAAAAUUAUGAUUUUCAAAGGUUGUGUAAUAGUUUAGAAUGAUGGAAUAAAAUGUUAAUUGAGAAAAAUUAGCUUAAUAGGUGGGGUAAUUGAGUAAGGACUGAAUUGUAUGACCUGUGAAAUUUAGAGGAAAAAUGGUAAUAAACAUCUUGAACUAAAACAGCUUUGGACAGCAGCAGUAGGUUAAUUUUGAAAAAUCACCAUAAAUUUUGAAUAAUAUAUGAAAUUAAAGCUUAUUGAGUCUAGUUUCUUAUAGAAGAAACGGUGUAAGCAAUUGAAUUGUAAAUUAUGAGAUAUAAUGAAUUUUGUGAGACAAGGUCAGAAUGAAUUCGGGUUCCCCUGUUUUGACUUUGGAAAAUCACCAAAAAUUUUAGAAAAUUAAUUAGAGGCUCAAAUUUAUAUGCUUAGAAUCCUUAAUGAGUGUGUUUUCAAUAGAAAUCAACGAGAACAUUAUCUGAGUUCUGUACUGUGAUAUAAUUAAUUUUUAGUGAAGAGAGGUCAGAACUGUCAGAUAGUGAAACAGGGGAAACUUAAAUGAUAAACUGUACUAAUUGGCUAAACCAAAAAUUUUGAAAAUUUUAUGGUGAAAUGAUAUGUGAGUCUAGUUUCAGGCAAAAUUUAUGGAUCUUAAUUUGGAGCUCUGUAGCUCGAAUUAUAAAUAAUUGAGUGACUAUGACUCAUGUGAACAGCUUGAUGUGAGUAUUAAUAAGUAAAUUGUGAAAUCGUACUUACAAGAAUGUUAUAUAGAUUAAGGAUGUGGAAUGGAGAGGAAGAGGAGGAAAAUAAAUGAUAUAUGUUUAUAAGAAAACAGUAUGAGAACGAUACAUAUCAUGACAUAUAUAUAUGACUAGUUUCAAUAUGAUCUAGCUUUAAAUAUGAUCUAACUUUAAAUAUGAAUGCUUGAUGAUUAAGCUGAAAAUAUUUGGUAAGAUGAUAAUCAUGGUAUAAAAUAUAAGUGGUACCAUAAUAGACAAGGUAAAAUGAGUAUGAGAGACACAUGUAUGAUGACAUACAAAUGCUAUGUUUGUAGUUUAAUUGAGAAUGCUUAAUCAUUAAAUGAAUACUAUGUUAUAUGCUUUUGAUUUUGUAUAAGUGUGUAAGAGAUUAAGGUUGACCAAGGCUUGGAAAAUAGCUUAGAUAUUGACCACACAGGCAGAGACACGGCCGUGUGUCUCAGCCGUAUAUAGAACACGACUUUAGGACACGGGCGUGCGAUGUGGCCGUGUGCCCCUAAAUUGAUGACGAUGUCAUAAACAAAAAGCUCCACGGACAAGGGACACGGCUGUGUCCCAAGCCACAAGGGCAUGUGGAAUCCACACGGCCUAAUCACACGGGCGUGUGGGUACUGUUCACAAGUAAAUUUUUUUUUAAAAAAAAAUUAAGCGAAAAAUUUUAUGAGAAAUCAGUUGAGUUCCGACUUGAUUUUAAUGUUCAUGUUGGGCUUCGAGGGCCCAAAUGAAGGUUGUUAUAUAUAUAUGAUCUCAGAAAGUGAAUAGUAAUGUUUUGAUUAAUCUGUAAAUGUUUUGUAUGUACUGGUAACUUGUAACACUCUGUAACCCUGUUUUGACGACGGAUACGGGUUUGGGGUGUUUCAAUCCCAAUGGCUGUUCUUGAGUAUUUUCUGCCUUCUAACCUCUGUGUCCCCCCUUUAAUCCUUUUCGAGGGUGUUUAUAUAGACUUUGAUAUACUUCAAAACCCUCAAAAUUAGCCUUUUCCAAAUAGAAUUAGACUUGGGGUCGAUAGAGACACGGUUGUGUGCCAUGCCCGUGUGAAGUUCCUCAGGCCGUGUGCAAUUUUGACUUGGUUUUUAUUCGACACAGCAAUGACACACGGGCGUGUGGCUUGCCCGUAUGCCUCACACGGUCGUGUGGUUUACCCGUGUAGAAGUGCAUGAGCCGUGUGAAACACUGAAUUAGUCCCAUUUCGUCUGUUUUUGGCCCAUUUCGUCUCUCUUUGCUUUCCUAUGUUCACCUAAGUAUAAAACAUGAAUUUAAAAGAUUAAGAGCAUCAAAUUCAAUGAAACCAAGGAAAAAUCAUCCAUAAAUAUGCCGAGCAUGGGGUCAAAACAUGUAUAUAUUAUGGUUUAUCAAAUAUCCCCACACUUAAGCAUUUGCUUGUCCUCAAGGAAAAUCCUCAACUCACAAUUAAAAUAAAUUCUUUUCAACUUAUAAUUCUAAUCAAUAAUGUUCGAAAUAAUCCAUAAGUAAUCAUACGUUAAUAGUUUAACUAAAAGAACAUUAAAGUUUCAAACAAUCCAAAUUGAGCAUUUCAAUCAUAAAAUCAUAAGUAUCCCCUUUUAUCUAAGUAAUCACCUUUAAUUCCAAAUUGGCAAGGUUGACAUCCUCACUAAUGAUUCACUCAAAUCACUCAAAGUGUUUAAGGUUCAAUAAUUAAGCACUCAAUAGUCAAACAUGAAAAGUUAUUACCAUAGGCUUGCAUGAAAAUCAAAUUUCUAGCACUAUAAUGAUAUGAUACACAAAUUAAAAGGUCUUUAACCGAGUUGUAAUGGGGCUUGGGUUAAAGGAGUGGAUAAAGGCUGAAAAAGAGAGUUAGAAUCGAGAUUAAUUUAAUAAAUUACGAAACUUAGAAAAAAGAAGCUAAUUGCUGAAUUACAAAAAAAUGCCAGAAUUCGAACUAUCCAAAACCAAAGACGUGAGCUUUUUCUUAAUAUAAUAACUUUAACUUAUCCAAACUCUUUAGACAAAUAUGUGACUGAAUGAAUAUAAAUAUACGGUUUUUCUUUUAAAGAAUAAGAACAAUAAUAGAAAGUACAUAAUAAGAGAUAAUUCAACAACUAGAAUGAAUGAUCAUAAUUAGGUAACUAAUCAAAUCAAAUCUCGAUAAAAAAGAGUCAAUAAAAAGGGAGAAAUUCUUAACGAAUCAAAAAGGGUUAAAUUGUGGAUUAAUAUUAAGGGAAAAAAUUUAGUGAUAAACAUGUUAAUUUACAUGAUUCUUGUGUUUAAUUUGGCUUAUUUCUGAAUUAAUCCCUGCUUAAUUGGUGUUUUUAUGGAUUUAUCUUGUCAGGGAUGCAAUUGGUCAAAAAUGAGCAAAAAUGUGUCAAAUUGAAAGACAGAUCGUUGAGUUGAGGCCAAAUCAUAAUGAUGGGAAAGCCAAGGAUUUAACAUAAAUUUUGACUUUGUAAAAAGCUAAAAAUAGAAGAUAUUAUUUUAUUUUAUUUUAUUAUUUAUUAUUUAUUUUAUUAAUUUAGCUUUAGCCUAUUUUUAGUAAACCCUAUGUAUAUAAAUAGGGGCUUUUAGUUCUUAGAAAAUCAUCUCUUGUCUUUGUAUUCCUACUUCUAUUUGGAAUUGAAAGACUCUCCUUUUCCCUUUUCAAAUUGGAGUUUAGCAUUUGUCACAUUUUCAUUUGGUUUUGUUUCUUUUGUCAAAUCGAGCUAAUUGCCUUCCAAGUACUCUUCCUUUCCAAUUUCCAUCACCUUUCAUAUAAAUCCAUCAUUUUUUACAACUUUCAAGCAUGAAUAAAUUCAUGCUCCACUAAAAUUCCAUCUUAGCUUUAGGUCGGUGUUCUUUUCGGUCGAGAAUUGUGAGAUUUAUACUCGCGCCUAAAAUCCUUCCAAUCGGUAUUCACCUUUUUCCUAAGUAUCGGGAUUAACAACUCAUCCCUUAAGGAUAAUUCGAUUUCAAGUCAAAAAGAGCUCGUUGGGUUGGAGUCGUGUUUUCUGAAAAUUGGAGAAACAAAUGGGCCGUGUUGUAUUUGGAUUUCCGAGAAUAAAUCGAGAAAGAGGUGAUCGGGUUUAAACGACCCACGCGGUUGAAGCCGUUAAUUUGAGUUGGGUUUUUCAGAACGCAAGGCUGCCAAAAUCCUGAAUCAGGAACACGUGUAUCUCGGUUAGAUAAUCGAUAAGGGUUGGUUUGCAGGUCGUAUCGGGACCAACUACGAGAGGAAGAAUUGGUGGUUAGGACGUUCUUAACCACUAUAACCAACUUAUCGUUUGAAGGAGAAGAUCAAUUUUCGAGGAUCGAUUCUCGACACGGAAUUUUCUGAGUCUAAGGCUAAGGCUUAUUACAUUUGAUUGCAAAUCUCAAUUUAAUUUCUGAUUUAUUUAAUUAUUUAUCUUAGCAGUUUUAAUUAUUUAGUUUCCACUCAAUUUCAAAAUCCCCUACUUUACUUAUUUAUUUGCUUAUUUUUCAGCUGGUAUGUUUUGAUUCGUGGGCACGACUCUAACCACGACCCUUGACACGGUAUUCUGUUCAUAAGCCAAACUCGAAAGUUGAUUAAAGUACGAAUCCCUGUGGACUCGACCCCACUACCACUCUACUACUAAUUAGAGCUAUUUUGUAGGAAUUUUUUUGGUGGAUUCGACGCCCAUCAAAUUUUGGCGCCGUUGCCGGGGAUUGGAGAUAUUUUCUAACUUUUGCUUGUCUACCUUAUGACCAGAUCAGAACCAGAAAGUCUAGAGUUUGAGCCAGAAAUUGAGAAAUUGGCCCGAUAACUACUAAGAGAAGCCAUACGACGUGGUAAACAGCCAAAUCUCAGAUUUGAAACUAUAUCUUACACCAAAGAAUAUUUUGACGAACCAGACGAGAUGGCUGAACAAACUAUACGCUAGCUCGCAGCGGCACCGGAUGAACAACAGCCCUUAUGUAUAACCUAUCCAGCAGGAGGAACGCCGUUCGAGCUAAAGUCGGGUUUGAUCCACUUACUGCCCACUUUUCAUGGACUACAAAAUGAAAAUCCGCAGCCCACCUUAAGGAGUUCCAUAUGGUGUGCACAAACAUGAAGCCUUAAGAAGUAACAGAAGACCAAACCAAACUUCAUGCUUUUCUAUUUUUAUUAGCCGACCCUGCUAGAGAGUGGCUGUUUUAUUUGCCUCCGAGAUCUGUCAACACAUAGUCUGACAUGUCUCGUUUGGUUCUUGACAGGUGCUUCCCUGCAGCUCGAGCGGCCGAACUAAGGAGGGAUAUCGUAGGAAUCUGUCAGAAGGACACUAAAUCGCUCUACAAUUACUGGGAGCGAUACAAAAAGUUGUGCACGAGCUGCCCAUAAGAUGGACUGACUGAGCAGUCACUCUUGCAGUAUUUUUAUGAGGGUUUACUCCUGAUGGAAAUGAUAGAUGCUACAAGUGGAGGAACACUAGUCAACAUGACGCCUCAAAGAGCGAGAAAGUUGAUUUCAACCAUGGCUGCCAACUCUCAACAAUUUCGACCGGUUACAGAACCCACGAGACAGGUUCAUGGGUUAAGUUCUUUGUCUCUAGAAGAUAAGAUUGAUAAGCUGACUAAUGUUGUUCAAACUUUUCUUUCAGAUAAAAUAGGCCCAGCACGGUUAUGCAGAAUUUGCUCCAAGCUAGACCACCUUACAGAUUCAUGUCCAAUUUUACAAGAGGAUUCGGCAGAACAAGCGAAUGCUGUAGGGAACUUCCUAGGACCACCCCAAAGACGGUAUGACCCCUACUCGAACUCGUAUAAUGUAGGGUGGAAGGAUCACCCGAAUCUCAUCUAUAGGACAAAUCCGAGUUCAAUCAACCAUUCCAAGAAAGGCCGUCGCAGAAUUAACAAAUACCACCCCCGAAGUCAUCUUUGGAGACCAUAGUGGAAAGGUUAGCCACCAGUACUGAGAAGUUCCAACAAAAAACUGGCAUGCAUUUGCAGGAGUUGGACAAGAAAGUGAGCAAACUCGCGCUCACGGUUAGUCGUUUGGAGUCCCAAGGUAAGCUGCCAUCCCAGACUGAGCCAAAUCCACGACACAAUGCAAGCGCUAUGAUGCUAAAGAGUGGGAAGGUUUUGGAGCCCGUACAUGAUGCAAGUCGCGGCCACGACACUAGUCGUGCCCACGACGCUAGUCAAGAUAGGGAGAAACUUGGCACAGAGGCUCCAGUGGAGUCGGCACCAUAAAAGUCAUUUGCAGUACCACUUCCGUUUCCCGGACUACUUAUCCAAUGUAAGAAGGAGCAAGACGAGAAGGAGAUCCUCGACACCUUCCGAAAGGUGGAAAUCAACAUACCUCUUCUCGAUGCAAUUAAGCAGAUCCCACAAUAUGCAAAGUUCCUGAAAGAGUUAUGCACGAGUAAAAGAAAACUUUUGGGAAAUGAAAAGGUAAGUGUUGGAGAAAAUGUCUUUGCCGUUCUGCAACGGGAAAUACCGCCCAAAUAUAAGGACCACGGUAUGUUUUCCGUAUUAUGUAAAAUAAGUAGUGUUGGUAUUAAAAAAGCAAUGUGUGACCUAGGCGCAUCAAUUAAUGUUAUACCUUUGUCAAUUUAUAAACUACUUAACGCGGGUCCUUUAAAGGAAACAGGCGUGAUAAUCCAGCUUACAGAUAGAUCUGUGGUGCAUCCAGGGGGAGUAUUAGAGGACGUUCUUGUCAAGGUAAACGAGCUAAUAUUUUCUCCAGACUUCUACAUUAUCGACAUGGAAGAUGAAAAUUCGGCCAAUGCUUAUCGGAAGACCAUUUUUGAGUACCGCACAAACAAAGAUUGAUGUAAGAAGUGGGAUACUCACUAUGGAGUUCGAUGGGGAAGUAGUAAAAUUCAAUGUCUACGAGGCCUUGAACCGUCCUAGCGUGAUUUCUAAUGUUUCUAAUAUUGAUAUUAUUGAUCCUUUAACUGAGUUACAUUUGAAAUAUCAUGACAAGGAUGAAUUACAAGCUUUCCUUUGCAGAAGUUUGGACUUUGAUGCCAUUAAAGAACUUGAGGAGUGGAUAACCAUUGAAGAUUUUGUUCACGGAAUAGUAGCUCAUAUGGAGGCAUCACAACUACGGAAAGCUUCAGGUAAAACCUUUGAAUUAUCUCCCUCACAGACUAAGCUCGUACCAUCUAUUUUGUAGGCUUCGGAAUUAGAACUCAAAUCACUCCCAAGCCACUUGAAGUAUGCUUUUCUCGGUGAAGGAAAUUCACUACCGGUGAUAAUCUUGAGUAAACUCUCGAAGGUAGAAGAAGAAAACUUGGUACGAGUCCUUAGGGACUAUAAAGAGGUAAUUGGGUAGACAAUAGCCCACAUUAAGGGAUUGAGUCCAUCGACUUUCAUGCACAAAAUUUAGGUUAUCGAUAAUGCUGUUCACAAAAGAGAGGCUCAAAGGCGUCUCAACCCGCUUAUGAUGGAAGUGGUAAGAAAAGAAGUCCAAAAGCUACUUAACGCCGGGAUGAUCUAUCCCAUUUCCAACAGUAGUUGGGUUAGCCCAGUCCACGUAGUACCAAAAAAGACCGGUGUGACUGUAAUUGAGAAUUCGGUAGGUGAGAUGGUUCCCACUCGGGUCCAAAACGGGUGGAGAGUCUGCAUCGAUUACAGGAAGUUGAAUUCCUUAACUCGGAAAGAUCACUUCCCAAUUCCUUUUAUUGACCAGAUGUUAGAGCGUUUAGCUGGAAAGUCUCACUAUUGUUGUCUUGAUGGUUACUCAGGGUUUUUCCAAAUUCCAGUAGCACCGGAGGAUCAGGAGAAGACGACGUUUAUGUGCCCAUUUGGCACAUUCGCUUACAGACAGAGACCGUUCGGACUCUGUAAUACACCAGCCACUUUUUCAGAGGUGCAUGGUAAGUAUAAUUUCAGACUACGUUGAGAAAAUUAUCGAGGUGUUCAUGGACGACUUUACUGUAUAUGGUGAGUCCUUCGAGGUAUGUCUGAAUAACCUUGCAAAAAUUUUGGAAAGAUGCUUAGAAUUUAAUCUUGUUCUAAAUUAUGAUAAAUGCCAUUUUAUAGUAGACAAGGGAUUAGUUCUAGGUCAUAUUAUUUCUGCAGAGGGAAUUUCUGUCGAUAAAGCAAAAAUCGACAUCAUUAACUCACUACCAUACCCCACUACUGUGAGGGAGAUUCGAUCUUUCCUUGGUCAUACAGGUUUCUACAGGCGGUUCAUUAAGACUUUUCAAAAAUUACGCAACCCCUUUGCAACCUAUUACAGAAGGACAAGGAAUUCGAGUUUGACCAGUCAUGCAAAGAAGCGUUUGACACGCUCAAACAUAAGCUCGUUUCGGCACCUAUUGUUCAACCAUCGAAUUGGAGUUAUCCUUUUUGAAAUAAUGUGCGAUGCUAGUGACCAUAGUGUGGGAGCAAUCCUUGGACAAAGGAUCGAGAAGGAACCACACGUCAUCUUCUAUGCCUCUAAAACUUUGGACGCUGCCCAAAUCCAUUAUUCAACCACUAAGAAAGAGUUUCUAGCUAUAGUCUUUGCCUGAGGAAAAUUUCAUUCAUAUUUAUUAGGAACUAAGAUUGUGGUUUUUUUUAUCAUGCAGCCCUCAAAUAUCUGAUCGGGAAGAAGGAAGCAAAACCGAGACUUAUAAGGAGGAUACUACUUCUGCAAGAAUUCGAUCUCGAAAUAAAAGAUAAAAAAGGACGUGAAAAUCUGGUGGCUGACCAUCUGAGUCGAAUUCCUCUAUCAAAGGAUGUAACACCACUUAAAGAUGAUUUUCCGGAUGAAAACUUGCUUGCUGCCCAGACGAUUUUUCCAUGGUACGCGGACAUAGUGAACUACCUUGUUACAGGUAUAGUCUCUCCUAACCUAUCGCGAUCUGAAAAAGACAGAUCAAACGUGAGUCUCGGUAUUAUAUUUAGGACGACCCAUGUUGAGGCCCAAUUUUGGCCAAAACAAUAAACCAACUAACCUACCCUACCCAAUACAACCCAAAUACAACCCAAUACCCGAUUGCUAAACCCACUAAGCCCAAAACAGUGCAGCCCAAAUCAGAAACAAAACAAAAUGAAACCCAUCAGCCAACUAACCUACCCUAACCCAAACUAAAGUACCCAAAUAACUAAAAACCCUAAGCCCACUAAACCAGCCCAAUACCUAAAACAAAAAAACUAAACAAAAUCAGAAAACCCUAGCCCCCAAGCCGCCGCUCCUAGCCUCUGCCACCACCAACUCCAUUGGCCAUGCCUGCAGCACGCCACCGCCCUUGUCACUAUCCAACUUGCACCUGAAAAUGAAGAAAAGACAUAAACAAUAAAAAAAUACUUUGUAAAUGGCUAUAUAAGCCUUGCCAUAUUUUGUAUUUUGGCUCUGGACAUUUUUUUAAUACAAAAAAAUAGAACAAAAAGAGACUCAAGCACCAAUAGUAGCAUUCGAUCAUAGCAAUAAAUACUAAAACAGAGGAGUUAGAUUUGGGAUAAGGUGUUAUUUUCGAUCUAUUUUCAUUUUUAUUUAUUUACUUUUCGUAACAAUCAAUACAUAUAAAGAUCCAUUUAUUUUCUUUUACCAUUUAUAUGUACGAAUAUUAAAAAACAUAAAAAAAUACAAAAAAAAGGGAAAAAAAGAAUACCUUCGCGGUGGCCGGCGACGGCGGUGGUCACGACGGUGGUUUCGCCGGAGCUCCGACCGGCCUAAGGCAUCUGCAGAGAGAAAAUUAGAAGGAGAAAUUUUUUUUAAAACAAAUGCUGAAAUGAAUUUUUUUUUAGAAAAUUUACUUAAAUAGAGGGCCACAAUGACGUCGUUUUGGCCUGGGUCUUUAAACCCCAAAACGGCGUCGUUUUGAGCCUUAACCCGCGACCUGACCCGCUCCAGGCCUAGGAUCCGUGUGUUUUCAAUGGAAGGGCUAAUUGCAUUUUUAGCCCUUCUGCCUUUUCAUUGUUUUAAAAUCAAGUUCUUUUGAUUUUUAAAUGUGCCCAGUAAUUUGCUUUGGGUUUUAAUUUCGAUCCUCCCUUCUGCUGUCUGUUUCAAAAGGGAGGGAAUAUUGCACUUUUGGUCCCCCACUUCUUUCGCGCAUUGCAAUAUGACCUUCCCUUUUCAUUUUAUUUUGGAUUCGCCCCGAACUCCUAUUUUACAUUCAAUUUAGUCCUUUUAGUUAUUUUUGCUAUUUUGCCAUUAUUAUUUAUUCAAUAUUAUCAUUAUCAUUUGCUAAAUUUAUUAUUAUUAUUAUUAUAUAUUAGUAUAUUUUUUAUUAUAUAUGUAUAUGUAUAUAUUUUUAUACAUAGUAUUAUUUUUUUAUUACUUUAUUUUAAUAUUUUUUUAUACUACAUUUGCUUUUCGUAUUUCAAUAUUAUUGCUAUUAUUAUUAUUAUUAUUAUUAUUAUUAUUAUUAGUGUGUAUUUUUAUUAUAUAUGUGUAUGUAUAUGUAUAUGUUUAUAUAUAGUAUUAUUCUUUAUUACUUUAUUUUUAUUAUAUUUGCUUUUUAGAUUUCAAUAUUAUUACUAUUAUUAUUAUUAUUAUUAUUAUUAAUAUUAGUGUAUAUUUUUAUUAUAUAUGCAUAUAUAUGUAUUUAUAUAUUAGUAUUUUUAAUUACCUUAUUUUAAUAUUAUUAUUAUAUUAUACACUUUCCUUUUUAUGUUUAUUUAUUUAUUACUUUAUUACUAAUUAAUUUAACUUAUUAAUUAUUAUUAUCAUUAUCACUAUUGUUAUUACUUUACUAUCGUAAUAUAAUAUAUUAUUAAUAUUACUUUUAUUUUCAUUAUUAUUAUUAUUACUAUUAUUCUUUAUUGUCAUGGUUAUUUUAUUUAUUUUUAUAGCUAUUAUUUUUUUAUCACUAAUAUUACUACUGUUAUAUUUAUUAUUAUUACUUUUAUUAUAAUUACUAUUAUUAUUAUAGUUUUUCUUUUAUAUAUUUACGUUUUUUAUAUGGUACAUUAAUUCUAUUUUAUUAUUUCAUUAUUUAUUCGCUUACACUUUUAUGUAAUUUCAAACUUUGAAAAUUUUCUAUUAUCCUGUAUCAUUGUUUUGUUUCAUAUAAUACUUAUGUAUAUUUAUUCCAUUAUUAUUUUAUCAUUUUUUACUUAAAUUAUAAGUUUGUUUACACAUAUUACAUAAUAUUUGUUAUUUUUAUUAUCAUUAUCAUCAUCAUUAACAUACAUAUAUAUACGUGUGUAUUUUUCAUGUGCAUAUUAGUAUUUUUACCAUUACUACAAAUACUAUUUCUUUUAUUAUUUUAUUAGAACCUUAUUUUUUUAUUGUGAAUAUUAUUGUUAUUUUUAUGCUAAUAUUAUAUUUUAAUGUUUUUCAUUAAUUGUAUCAUCGCUUGCAUUGUUUACAAUUUCCUAUCGCAAAUGAUAUUUUUAAUCAAUUUCAAAAAUAAAUAAGGCAACGUACCGAUUUCAACACUAAGUAGCUGAUUUCAUCGUUAUGUUGGGUGGAUAUCAUUGGCUCGUGUUAAAAACGUGACGCCCUUCUAAAAAACUAAAAAUUUCAAAUUCUUGUAUUUUAAUCGGAUCGCAACUAAGUAUUAAAUUAAACUUAUAUUUUGAGAAUUAUGACAACGCGUGUUUAAAAAGAUACCAAUUUUGGGCGUCGCGAGAUUGCUAAUACCUUCCUCGUGCGUAACCGACUCUCGAACCCUAUUUUUUUUUUGGAUUUUCGCGUAGACCCAAAUUUGGCCUUCAUUUUGUUCAAGAAUAAAUUUUCUUUUCUAAAAAAGAAUGUUUAUUAGGUGUCCGAUCAUACCUAGAAAAAUAGUCGGUGGCGACUCCUUUUCUUUUUAAAACUGAAAUUCCAUUUUCAAAUUUUCAAAUAAUCACCUCAAAUAGCGACCAAAGCGAAAUUUUUACGUCUCUACAGCUGGCGACUCCACUGGGAUCUUUUUUUUAGAGCCGAGUCUAGAAUUAAACCCGUGUUGUCAAAAUUUUUCAAAUUAAUAUUUAGUCAUGAUCCUUAAAUUUUUGUUUUUGAAAAGUCAUGCACUUGCGUCAUGUUGUAAAUAUUCUUCUAACUUAUUUUAUCUUAUUGUUUUUCAGCUCUAAGUGUUUAUGGUUUUAGUUUUUUUAGUUUAGUUUUUAAAUAAAACGUAAAGGUUUGUGAGUUUCUCCCUACACACCGUGCACUUGCAUUUUUCCAUAACAUGAGCUUUUUACCCGGGCUCCGUCUGCUUAAGUGGAAGUAAAAGCUAUGCUUUUGUGAGUUAACUCGUCCCUCCACACAGGCUAGUGAAUACUUCCGGGUUACAUAUGACUUAUGCUUUCGUGAGUUAACUUGUCCCACCGCAUAGGCAUAAGUAAAUGUAAUCCCUCGAAUUGAACUCGUGAGCCUGUGAUGGGCUACGAUCGAGGCUUCGUACUAGUCUUAGUAGACGAUAGCAUGAACAAUUUGAGUACCUGUCUAAAAAAGAAACCGCAUAUAGUAAACCAUACGAGCCACCUAAUUAGAGCCAUGUCGAACCUCCGUUCGUUAAUAGUCACCCAAAUAAGUACACGGGAGAGACGCCUCUUACCUUUCAUUUCUUUUACGCUUAUACUUUGCAAAGGAAUCGGGUCUAUUGGACUGGGUAACUUAAUUUGUUAGAUUCUCCAUAGUUUUUUUUUCUGUUCAUAUUUUUUGUGAUCACUAACCAAGGUUGUUUAUUUUUUAUUUUUAUGUUUCAUCAUGCAUCAUAGGCAUCUUGAUUAGGAAGGUGUUGAUUAGAGAUUGGUUGCCAAAAAUGGGUUUCUAAUAGAGGAUUCAAUUACGCAAGUAACCGAGAAAAAUGUCGUGGUUCGAGACUGGUCUUUGAAAACCCAGAAAGCAAAAAAGGACAGUUUAACGGAAGGAUGUAUCUCCAAUCUUCCCGAACAUGUAACUUCAAACGUUCAUCAGAAUAACCUCGAAGGCUUGACUCGGAUUUGGAAACAAUGGGACUCAGAUACUUAGGGGAUUUUCACUGAAAAGUACUGGGAUAUAGCUCACUUGAUCGCCGUCAAUGUAGACGAACAGUUGAUUCAAGCCAUGGUUCGAUUCUGGGACCCAGCAUACCAAUGUUUCACUUUCAAUCAAGAAGAUAUGACUCCGACCAUAGAAGAGUAUGCUGCCUUGCUUCGUGUUGACAACGUACACUUCAACAAGAUAUAUGUGAAAGAGCUCAAACCAAUUACUUUCAAGAAAAAGCUAGUGAGGUUGACGAGAAUGACUGAUAUAUGGGCUGAAACACAAACAAAGAAAAAUAAUGAAGUCAGUUGUGUUCCGUGGUUUUCUCUGCGAGACUUAGUUCAAAGCCAUCCAGAUAUUGCAAAGAGAGUGGAUCUAUUUGCUUUGGCCAUUUACGGAUUAAUUGUCUUCCAAAAAGUUCUCGGGCAUAUAAAAGUCGUGAUAGUGGAUUUUUUUAAAAGAUUGAAGAAAUGGAUCAACCCCGUCCCGGCUAUCUUGGUCGAGACUUUUAGAUCUCUAAAUUGUUGUAGGAGGAAAUGGGAAGGACGUUUUAUCGGAUGUGCACAGUUACUUAAUGUCUGGAUUCUAAGUCAUUUCUGGAAAGUGGAGCGCACACCUUUCCACAUGUUUUCAAAAACAUUCGCCCUAUUGAAAGCUUACCUUGAGAAAGAUUGGCCAAAGGAUGUCAUUGAACAGCAUUGGGUUUUAGUUUUUCAGAACCUUCGUACCAAAGAUAUAACCUGGAGAGCACCAUAGAUCUCCUUCAGUUCUAUUAUACAAAUGUGGGAGCCAAGAUUGGGUGCCUUUAGUAGGACUAUGGGGAGGAAUUGGAUACGCUCUGUUAAUGGUUCAAAGACAGUUUGCUUCACGACAGUUCAUACCCGCUAUCGGAGGAUUGGCACAAUCAGAGUUCGCCUUUACGGGUGAAGGCUACAUGAAAAGAGUCCGAGAUACUGCAAAGUCUUGGAAGGAAAUUCACCUAAUGGAGUUAGCCCUUUAUGCUGAUACUAUCACUUAAGAUUAUGACUUAUGGAGAAAACGACGAGUGAAUAGUUAACAAAUCUCACCGACGAGUUACACUUUCCAGAAUCCUUUCUCAGAAGAAAUGUCAUCCGAGCUGGAAGUAGCGAUACAUGAAUUCGAACGUGAAAAGGCCAAGCUGUUAUGGGAUAUUAGUUCUCUUCAAGAGGAAAAUUACCAGCUGAAGAUCGGGGUCUAAAUUAAAGAAUCCAAAACCAUGAAAGUUCAAAAAGAAGCUGAGAUCGUGAGAAAAGACUUAAGGGACCUUCAUUUGGAAAAGAAGAAAUUAAGAAACACUAUAAAAAAUAGUGGUUUGGGCAAGUUGUCAGCAGAAUGGAAGGAAGAAAUUUGCAAUAUCAAAGGUGGGUUGGAAUUCUAGAGAGGGAAAGCAAAGAAAGAAGAGGAAAAAGCUGCGCGUGCUAUGAUAGAGUUAAGAAUGAAGAAUGCUGAGUAUGAAACUGUGACUGUAGAAUUUGUGACUAGUCAGUCCGAAUGUCAAGAGCUAAGAAGGAAAAUACGAGAUCUAGAAAAUAUGCUGCAAUCUCGUAAGCAACAGUUAGAUACUCUUUUAAAAUCUCUAGAAGAAAAGAAUGAUCAGCAUGACAGAGACACUCGCACUUACGAAAGAGCUCUCCAAGAAAAAGAAAUGUAACUCGACUUUUUGAUCAAUGAAAUUCGCAAGGCGACUAUGCAAGUUGUGCAAUUAUCAGAUGAAGCCGAAGCUCUCAGUUGCCAAUUCCCUCCGAGUCAAAGAUCAAGCAUAUCAGAAUUCUUAGAACGAGUGAAGAAACAAGGCAAUGUGGCUAGAAAAUUUGUGUAACGGUUGAAUAAAAAAUAGCGAAACGUUUUGUAAUAGACUCUUUUGAUUAAUGAAAUGCCUAAGUAGGGGCCAUCUUGAAAUCAACACCAAAUUUUUUCACAUUCAUUCAUAACUGACAUUCAUUUGUCAUUCAUCCAUUCAUCUGUUCAUUGCAUGUACAUAUCACCAUAAUCAUUCACUGAGGCUAAAACCGUAUAAUCCGCAGUUGCUACACUCCAAGUCUAGAAUUACGCCAUUCUUAUAGGAUGCUCCAAAAAGUUAGAAUUAUAGAAGCCGAGUUCAAUGUGAGAAUUAAAAAGGAUGGAAAGGACCCAAAGAGAAUUGCAAGAGCAGUUGACCAAGUCACAACAGGAAGCAAAAGAUCUGAUUUUAAGAUCUCGAGAGGAAUCGCUCGAGCAAAGAGAUCAGAUGGCCAAAAUGAUGGAGAUGAUGACAACUUUGGUCAAAGGAAAGGGACCUAUGCAGAGCCCUGACACUAUGGAGCCUCAGUCGAGAGUUAACCAUGAUCAGGAUCCGUGCUAUCCCCCAAGAUUCACUCCCCUUCAUGCACAUGUAAUGCAAAGAGAAUGUCCUCAAGGAGAACCUGCAAGCUUGGAGCAACGACCCGUACCCCCUCCUCAUCUAGGGCAAGGUAUAUUCGUAUCAAACCUAGGAGCUAAUCCUGCUGAUCCCAAUGUUCUAGAUUUUGAUGAUCUGGUAGAAAUAGCCAGGUUGAAAAUGGAUGAUCAUGAUGCCCAGGACAAGUAUAGGAGCUUGGAAGAAAGGCUCAAGGCGAUAGAAGGUGCCGAAACCUUCUCUGCACUAAGUGCCAAAGAGUUCAGUUUGGUGCCCGAUCUGGUUCUGCCUCCGAAAUUUAAAGUGCCAAAUUUUGAAAAAUAUGAUGGAACGAAAUGUCUAAAGACGCAUCUUGUCAUGUUUUGUCGGAAGAUGAUUGGUUAUGUGAAUGAAGAUAAAUUGCUAAUACACUGUUUCCAGGACAGCUUGGUCGGAUCGGCCCUUUGAUGGUAUAAUCAACUUAGUAGAGAAAGGAUCCGAUCAUGGAAAGACUUGGCGUUAGCAUUUUUUGAACAAUACAAAUAUGUAUCCGACAUGGUGCCUAAUCGGCUAACUCUACAGAUGAUGGAAAAGAAGCCAACGGAGACUUUUAAGUAAUACGCGCAAAGAUAGAGGGAUAUCUCGGCCCAAGUAGAACCCCUAUUGACUAAAACUGAAAUAACGGUCCUCUUCAUCAACACUUUGAAAGCACCGUUUUAUGAUAAGUUGGUAGGAAGUGCCAUGAAAGACUUCGCAGAUAUUGUAAUAUCCGGGGAACUUAUAGAAAAUACCAUCAAAAGUGGAAGGAUAGAAGGUUUUGAGAGCUCGAAAAGGACAGUACUUGUAAAGAAAAAAGAGGCAGAAGCCCAUAUGGUGGGAACUGAGAGCCACCACACUUCUAAUCCUUACCCAGUCCAGCCACGACCUCGAUAUUGCCCACCUCCAAACUUUUAUUAUCCUCCCCAAAGCCCUUACUAUCAAGUACCUCCUCUUUACCUCGUCUAUGCCAUAGAUAACCAAAAACCAUUUGCCAUGUUCCCACCAAAUACCAUGCCUGCUCAAAGCCAACCCAAAAAUAAACAAAGAUCGACAAGAUCCAAUCCUGAAAAACCCCAGUUCACCCCAAUUCUCGUGUCAUACGGAGAGCUGUACCCAAAACUGUUGGAAAAAUAACUAAUAUCCCCACAUUAUAUGGCACCCCUGAAGCCUCCAUACCCAAAAUGGUACGAUCCUAAUGCCAGUUACAUGUACCACGCCGGAAACCAGGGGCAUUCUACAGAAAAUUGUCUAGCCUUUAAAAGGAGGGUUCAAGGUCUUAUCAAUGCAGGUAUUUUAUGAUUUGAUGGUGCUGGCAAUAUGGCUGAAAAUCCGCUCCCUAACCACACUGAAGGAAAAGUGAGCGCGUUGACAAAAGAAGAUAGGUGGCGUGCCAAAAGUUGUGUUUCUAAAAUAAAGACACCAGUGCGAAAGAUUUGGGAGGUAAUGAUUGAAAAGGGGCUGUUCUGUUAUCCUAACAGAAUUUUCAAAAAAGGAAAUACAAAAAGUCAAUGUUUUUGUAAUUUUCAUGGGAUCGAGGGGCAUGACAUCCAGUCUUGUGAAAGAUUCAGAAAACUACUUCAAGACAUGAUGGACAACAAGGAAGUCAAGAUCUUUAACAAAAUGAAAGAGGCCAAUGAAGGAGAAGUAUGCACUUCUGAUAAUCAAUCAUCGGGUUUCCCUUAUAGUGCCGAUCGACCAUUGGUGAUUUAUUACGAUACAAAAAAGGAGCAAGUGAAACCAAAGAUGAUAAUUGAAGUACCAUCUCCUUUCCCUUACAAAGACAACAAGGCAGUACCAUGGAAAUAUGAUGUCAACAUUAUCAUGCCCGAAGGUGAAAAAUCCAAAGUCACGACCAAAAAUGUUGGUGAAGUUGGACACUUCACCCGCAGCGGGAGGUGUCAUUCUAAAGUGGUCAAACCAAUGAAGAAGACUAACGACUUGAAACAAAAAGGAAAGGCACCGAUGCAUGAGGCCGAGGUUAAACUUGAGACUCCGUCCGAACAAGAAGUUAAAAGGCCUGUGAAUGAAGAGGAAGCACAUGAAUUCUUGAAGUUCAUCAAACAUAGUGAAUAUAACGUCAUGGAACAGUUAAGUAAACAACUGGCAUGAAUCUCGGUAUUAUCCCUACUAUUGAAUUCAGAACCACAUUAGAAUGCUUUGCUGAAAGUGUUAGAUCAAGCUUAUAUGGCAAGUAACAUAUCUGUCUAAAAACUUGAUAGGUGGGUGAAUAACUUGAACGCGGAUAAUUUUAUUUCUUUCAGUGAUGACGAAAUACCGCCAUAUGGUAGGGGCUCCGUAAAAGCAUUACAUAUCACAACCCGUUGCAAGGGUUAUAUAAUACCGAAUGUGCUCAUUGAUAAUGGGUCGGAACUCAAUGUCAUGCCUUUGGCCACGCUUUCUAGAAUUCCAAUUGAUAUAUCUUAUUUGAGGCCUUGUCACUCUACAGUAAGAGUAUUCGAUGGGACAAGACGAGAAGUUAUGGGAAAAAUCGAAAUUUCUCUAGAAGUAGGCCCUAUAUAUAUAUGACAUCAAUUUUCACGUCAUGGACAUCACGCCUUCGUACAAUUGCCUUUUAGGAAGGCCUUGGAUCCACUCUGCUGGGGCAGUUCCUUCAUCUCUCCAUCAAAAAGUGAAGUUUAUCAUGGAUGGUCUUUUGGUCACUAUCGUUGGCGAGGAAGACAUUGUCGUAUCUAUCUCUACUGAUACACCAUACCUUGAAGUAAAUAAGGAUGUAGUAGAAUGUUCCUUCCAUUCCUUCGAAUUCAUCAAUGCUAUGUUCGUUGCUGAAGGAAAUAAGAUUCCCAUGCCUCAGCUAUCAAGGAAUACCAAGAUGGGAAUUAAACUGACUGUGGGAAAGGGAGCCCAAGUGAGGAAAGGUUUGAGAAGAUAUCAGCAAGGGAUAGUUAGAGCUUUAAAACCAGUGCCCCAUAAGGCUCGAUAUGGUUUAGGGUUCCAGUCGGAUAUACGAUAGAGAAGAAAAUAGUUGUAGAAAGAUCAAGAAAUGAGGGUUUCAAGAGCCUUAGGCUGAGAAUUGGAAUGAAAUCCCAUAACGUACCCUUCUUUGUCAAAAACAUUUACAUCUAUAGGAAUGAUAUACCUCGGGAAAGAUAAUCCACGAAGCACACUGUUAUUAAUUGAAAGGGGUCUUCAGAAUGUUAGUAUAAAUGUCAUUGACAAAGGAGAUGAUGCAAUUAAAGAUGUUUCAAUGAUACGCCCUUGUCCUUCUGGAUUCAUUUUGAAUAAUUGAACUGCUGUGGAUCUCCUUGUAGUUUCUAAGUCUUCUCUAGAGUAAUGCUUAAUGUUAACACUUUUCUUUUUGUGUGUCCCUAAGUAAUAUUAGAGAUUCUUUUAUAAGAGCUUAUGAUUUGCUCUUUAUCAUUUAAAUGAACAUUAAUGGAGAUGCAUUUUGUCAUGGUCUUUUCAUUCUCAUUAACUUCAUAAUUUUUCCCUCUUCUCAUAGCCUGUCAUUGCAUAUAUCUCACAUCAUGCCAUUAUGCUUGUUGGUCUCAAUACUUUGAUGCUCCUCUAUAGUUUUCUUUUCCAUUCAACUUUCAGGUGCUCAGAUAUCAAAAAUAUGAACAAAUCUGUUACAAAUCUUGAAAUCGAUUUCGAGAAAGCUAUUUGUUUAGGAGAGUUCGAAGCUGAGGAAAAUGUUGAAGACUAUGUCUCGUUUCCUGACUUACUAAGAAUGGUAGAACAAGAGGAUAAACAAAUUCUACCUCAUCAAGAAUCUGUUGAGAUAGUAAACUUGGGAAAUGAAGAAAAGAGGCAAGAAGUGAAGAUUGGGACCUCCAUUUCAGAUAACACCAAGCAUGAUUUGAUCGCUUUGCUUCAUGAGUACAAAGAUGUACUUUCAUGGUCGUAUCAGGACAUGCCAGGAUUGGAUGAGGAUGUAGUGGUCCAUAAACUCCCACUAAAACCAGAAUGCAAACUCAUUCAACAGAAGCUAAGACGAAUAAGACCUGAAAUGCUAUUAAAGAUAAAAGAAGAAGUCAAGAAACAAUUCGAUGCUGGCUUUCUACAAGUCUCCAAGUACCCACAAUGGGUAGCUAACAUAGUACUAGUACCGAAGAAAGACGGCAAGGUACGAAUGUGUGUGGAUUAUCGCGAUCUGAAUCGAGCAAGUCCUAAAGAUAAUUUUCCUUUGCCACACAUCGAUACAUUGGUGGAUAAUACAACCAAACAUUCGUUGUUUUCGUUCAUGGAUGGAUUCUCGGGUUAUAAUCAGAUAAAGAUGGCUCCUGAGGAUAUGGAGAAAACUACUUUGUAACAAUAUAGGGAACAUUUUGUUAUAAGGUGAUGCCGUUCAGAUUAAAGAACGCUAGGGCUACAUAUCAGAGGGCCAUGGUGAUGUUGUCUCAUGAUAUGAUGCACAAAGAAAUAGAAGUCUACGUCGAUGAUAUGAUCGCCAAAUCCAAGGGGGAUGGAUAGCAUGUUGGGAACCUUAGGAAGUUGUUCGAAAGACUGAGAAAGUUCCAGCUAAAGCUUAAUUCAGCGAAAUGUACGUUUGGGGCUACCUCGAGAAAAUUGCUAAGCUUCAUCGUCAGCAAGAGAGGCAUUGAAGUUGAUUCAGAUAAGAUAAAAGCCAUACAAAAAUACCAUCUCCGCGCAGGCAAAAAGAAGUCAGAGGAUUUUUAGGGAGGUUGAACUACAUCGCUUAGUUCAUUGCUCAACUUACCAACCAGUGUGACCCAAUUUUUCGACUCCUUCGAAAACAUAAUCUGGGAGAAUGGAACGAGGAUUUCCAAGUGGAUUUUGACAAGAUAAAACAGUAUUUGUCUAGUCCUCCGGUACUAGUACUGCCAAUUCCAGAAAGAUCGUUAAUAUUGUAUCUGAUUGUAUCCGAAAAUUCAAUGGGUUACGUACUAGGGCAACAUGAUGAGUCAGAGAAAAGAGAAAAGGCAAUUUACUAUCUCAGCAAAAAGUUCACAGAGUAUGAGGCAAAGUACUCGUCAAUAGAAAAACUCUGUUGCGCUUUGGUUUGGGUAGUUCGGAGGCUCAGACAAUAUAUGUUGUACCAUACGACAUGGUUAAUUUCAAAGCUAGACCCAAUAAAGUACAUGAUGGAAUCACCUGCACUCUCAGGAAGAAUAGCACGGUGGCAGAUCCUACUAUCAGAAUACGACAUCGUCUAUGUGAGCCAAAAGUCGAUAAAAGGGAGUGCAAUAGCUGAUUUCUUAGCAACUCGAACAACGGAGGAAUACGAGCCAUUGAGAUUUGAUUUUCCAGAUGAAGACUUGAUGUGCAUUACGGGAAAAGAAUGUGAGUCAUCCAAAGAGAAGUCAUGGAGGAUGAGCUUUGAUGGUGCAUCGAAUACAUUGGGGCAUGGGAUUGGAGCAAUCUUACUAUCACCGAAAGGGAACCAUUAUCCGUUCAUUGCCAGGCUGAAUUUCUUCUGUACCAAUAACAUAGUGGAAUAUGAGGCUUGUACCAUGGGACUUUGUGCAGCUAUUGAACAAAACGUCGAAAUCUUAGAGGUGUAUGGGGACUCAGCGUUGGUGAUAUACCAAAUCCAUGGAGAUUGAGAAGUGAGAGAUUCAAAAUUAGUUAAAUACAACGAUCUAGUGGCAGGACUGAUUAAAGAAUUCAAAGAAAUAACUUUUAAUUACUUCCCACGAGAAAAAAACUAAUUGGCUGAUGCCUUGGCCACUUUGGCUUCAAUGUUCAAAGUGAACAGAGAAACAUAAAUAAUGCCUUUUCAAAUGAGCAUAUAUGGAAUCCCUGCACAUUGUUUGAGCAUUAAAAAGAGCCAGAUGGACGGCCAUGGUUCCAUGAUAUCUUAGAAUAUGUCAAGGACCAAAAGUAUCCUGAACAAGCAAAUGAGAACGAUAAAAGAAUAAUCAGAAGAAUGGCAGUAGGAUUUGUUCUUGAUGGGGACAUUCUAUACAAAAGAGGAAAAGAUCAAGUGCUCUUGAGAUGCGUAGACGCUGUUGAAGCCAGAAAAAUACUUGAAGAUAUCCAUGAGAGAAUUUGUGGGACACAUGCCAAUGGUUUCACUAUGGCCAGGAAUAUUAUGAGACUCGGUUAUUACUGGCUGACGAUGGAAAGUGACUGCAUUAGUUUUGCACGAAAAUGCCACAAAUGUCAAAUUUAUGGUGAUAAAAUUCAUGUAGCCCCUUCGCCCCUUCAUGUCAUGACUUCUCCGUGGCCUUUUUCUAUGUGGGGCAUGGAUGUUAUAGGGCCAAUUUUCCCAAAAGCUUCUAAUGGACAUCGAUUCAUUUUUGUAGUGAUAGAUUACUUUACGAAAUGGAUAGAAGCCGCUUCAUUUGCUAAUAUGACGAAGACUGCAGUUUGCAGGUUCUUAAAAAAGGAAAUCAUUUUCGAUAUGGUUUGCCUGAAAAAAUCAUUUCAGAUAACGCCUUAAAUUUGAACAACAAGAUGAUGAAGGAAGUGUGUGAACAAUUUAAAAUAAAGCAUCAUAACUCCUCCCCCUAUCGCCCGAAAAUGAAUGGAGCAGUUGAAGCGGCCAACAAAAUUAUUAAGAAGAUUAUUGGGAAAAUGACAGAGACAUAUAAAGACUGGCACGAGAAGUUACCAUUCGCUUUGUAUGCAUAUCGCACAUCUGUGCGGACAUCUACAGGAGCAACUCCUUUCUCUCUGGUUUAUGGAAUGGAAGCUGUGCUACCCAUCGAAGUUGAGAUCCCCUCUCUACGAGUCUUAAUGGAGUUGAAACUAGAGGAAGCAGAGUGGGUUCGAGUUCGAUAUGACCAGUUAAACCUUAUCAAAGAAAAACGUUUGAAGGCAAUCUGUCAUGGACAGAUGUACCAGAAGAGAAUGAUCGCGGCCCAUGACAAGAAAGUAUAGCCAAGAGAAUUUCACGAAGAAGAACUCGUGCUAAGAAAAAUUCUCCCAAUACAAAAAGACUUCCGAGAAAAAUGGGCACCAAAUUGGGAAGGACCAUAUGUCGUAAAGAAGGCUUUCUCAGGCGGAGCUUUGAUUCUCACUGAGAUGGAUGGGAAAGAGUUACCUAACCCAGUGAACUCAGAUACUAUAAAGAAAUAUUAUGCCAAAAAAAAAAUCAAGGUGAAAACUCGAAAAGGGCGUCUUGAUGAACAAAAAGGAUUAGGAUGAAAACCUGAGAGGGCGUCCUAAUGAUGCAAACCUGGGCUUAAAAAAAAGCAGGGCGCGCGGUGGCUGGCGACGGCGGUGGUCAAAAUGGCGGUUUCGCUGGAGCUCCAACCGGCCUAAGGCGUCUGCAGAGAGAAAAUUAGAAGGAGAAAUUUUAUUUUAAAACAAAUGCUGAAAUGAAUUUUUUUUAAAAAAAAUUUGCUUAAAUAGAGGGCCAAAACGACAUCGUUUUGGCCUGGGUCUUUAAACCCCAAAAUGGUGUCUUUUUGAGCCUUAACCCGCGACUCGACCUGCUCUAGGCCUAGGAUCCGCGUGUUUUCAACGGAAGGGCUAAUUGCAUUUUUAGCCCUUCCGUCUUUUCAUUGUUUUAAAAUCAAGUUCUUUUGAUUUUUAAAUGUGCCCUGUAAUUUACUUUGGGUUUUCAUUUCGGUCCUCCCUUAUGCUGCCUGUUUCAGAAGGGAGGGAAUAUUGCACUUUUGGUCCCCCACUUCUUUCGCGUAUUGCAAUAUGACCUUCCCUUUUCAUUUUAUUUUGGAUUCGCCCCGAACUCCUAUUUUACAUUCAAUUUAGUCCUUUUAGUUAUUUUUGCUAUUUUACCAUUAUUAUUUAUUCAAUAUUAUCAUUAUCAUUUGCUAAAUUUAUUAUUAUUAUUAUUAUUAUUAUUAUUAUUAUAUAUUAGUAUAUUUUUUAUUAUAUAUGUAUAUGUAUAUAUUUUUAUACAUAGUAUUAUUUUUUUAUUACUUUAUUUUAAUGUUUUUAUUAUACUACAUUUGCUUUUCGUAUUUCAAUAUUAUUAUUAUUAUUAUUAUUAGUGUAUAUUUUUUUAUAUAUGUAUAUGUAUUUAUAUUUAUACAUAGUAUUUUUUUAAUUACUUUAUUUUUAUUAUACUACAUUUGUUUUUUGUAUUUUAAUAUUAUUACUAUUAUUAUUAUUAUUAUUAUUAGUGUGUAUUUUUAUUAUAUAUGUGUAUGUAUAUGUAUAUAUUUAUAUAUACUAUUAUUUUUUAUUACUUUAUUUUUAUUAUAUUUGCUUUUUGAAUUUCAAUAUUAUUCUAUUAUUAUUAUUAUUAUUAUUAUUAUUAUUAUUAGUGUAUAUUUUUAUUAUAUAUGCAUAUAUAUAUGUAUUUAUAUAGUAGUAUUUUUAAUUACCUUAUUUUAAUAUUAUUAUAUUAUACACUUUCCUUUUAAUGUUUAUUUAUUUAUUACUUUAUUACUAAUUAAUUUAAUUUAUUAAUUAUUAUUAUCAUUGUCACUAUUGUUAUUACUUUACUAUCGUAAUAUAAUAUAUUAUUAAUAUUACUUUUAUUUUCAUUAUUAUUAUUAUUACUAUUAUUCUUUAUUGUCAUGGUUAUUAUGUUUAUUUUUAUAACUAUUAUUUUUUUAUCACUAAUAUUACUACUGUUAUAUUUAUUAUUAUUUCUUUUAUUAUAAUUACUAUUAUUAUAGCUUUUCUUUUAUAUAUUUACGUUUUUUAUAUGGUACAUUAAUUCUAUUUUAUUAUUUCAUUAUUUAUUCGCUUACACUUUUAUGUAAUUUCAAACUUUGAAAAUUUCCUAUUAUCCUGUAUCAUUGUUUUGUUUCAUAUAAUACUUAUGUAUAUUUAUUCCAUUAUUAUUUUAUCAUUUUUUACUUAAAUUAUAAGUUUGUUUACACAUAUUACAUAAUAUUUGUUAUUUUUAUUAUCAUUAUCAUCAUCAUUAACAUACAUAUAUAUACGUGUGUAUUUUUCAUGUGCAUAUUAGUAUUUUUACCAUUACUACAAAUACUAUUUCUUUUAUUAUUUUAUUAGAACCUUAUUUUUUUAUUGUGAAUAUUAUUGUUAUUUUUAUGCUAAUAUUAUAUUUUAAUGUUUUUCAUUAAUUGUAUCAUCGCUUGCAUUGUUUACAAUUUCCUAUCGCAAAUGAUAUUUUUAAUCAAUUUCAAAAAUAAAUAAGGCAACGUACCGAUUUCAACACUAAGUAGCUGAUUUCAUCGUUAUGUUGGGUGGAUAUCAUUGGCUCGUGUUAAAAACGUGACACCCUUCUAAAAAACCAAAAAUUUCAAAUUCUCGUAUUUUAAUCGGAUCGCAACUAAGUAUUAAAUUAAACUUGUAUUUUGAGAAUUAUGACAACGCGUGUUUAACAAGAUACCAAUUUUGGGCGUCACGAGGGUGCUAAUACCUUCCUCGUGCGUAACCGACUCUCGAACCCUAUUUUUUUUUGGAUUUUCGCGUAGACCCAAAUUCGGCCUUCAUUUUGUUCAAGAAUAAAUUUUCUUUUCUAAAAAAGAAUGUUUAUUAGGUGUCCGAUCACACCUAGAAAAAUGGUCGGUGGUGCCUCCUUUUCUUUUUAAAACUGAAAUUCCAUUUUCAAAUUUUCAAAUAAUCGCCUCAACUAGCGACCAAAGCGAAAUUUUUAUGUCGCUACAACCUGUAUCUUUGGAAGUACUGUUCUGACCAGGUAAUUCGCCGAUGCAUUCCUGAAACUGAGGUAAAAUCAGUUCUAUCCUUUUGUCAUUUUUAUGCAUGUGGUGGACAUUUUGGCCCCAAACGAACUGCGCAUAAAGUACUUGAAUGUGAACUAUAUUGGCCAAAUAUUUUUCGUGACGCGUAUCUAUUUUGUAAAACCUGCGAAAAGUGUCAAAAGGUAGGAAACUUGAGCCGAAAAAAAUGAAAUGCCUCUAAACCCUAUACAUGUCUGUGAAAUUUUCGAUAUAUGGGGCAUUGAUUUUAUGGGCCCUUUUGUCUCAUCGUUCAGUAAUGUUUAUAUUUUACUUGCUGUUGACUAUGUGUCAAAAUGGGUAGAAGCAAAAGCCACUCGUCGUUCUGAUGCCAAAACAGUAGUCGAUUUUUUGAAAAGUUGUAUUUUUUCCAGGUUUGGCACACCGUGAGCUUUGAUCAGCAAUCGAGUUUGCAAUAAAGUAAUUGAUACGCUCUUGAAAAAGUACGGAGUAGUGCAUCGAGUUGCUACAGCUUAUCACCCACAAUCGAACGGUCAGGCAGAGGUGUCGAAUCGGGAAAUCAAGUUGAUUUUGGAGAAGACCAUUAAGCUGGAUAGGAAAGACUGGAGUUUACGACUUAAUGAUGCAUUGUGGGCAUACCGAACAGCUUAUGAAGGACCUAGAGGUAUGUCUCCUUAUCGACUAAUUUUCGGUAAACCGUGCCAUCUCCCUAUUGAGCUAGAACAUAAGGUGUUUUGGGCGGUCAAACUAUGCAACAUGGAAUUGGAAGCUGCAGGUAAGCAUCGUAAAUUAAAUAUCCAGGAACUUGAGAAAAUUCGACGCGAAGCGUAUGAGAGUGCCCAAAUUACAAAGAUAAGGUCAAAGUGUAUCAUGACCAAAAGAUAAACCGCAAAAAAAUUAUGAUAGGACAGAAAGUAUUACUUUAGGACCCUACAUUGAGAAUUUUUGCAGGUAAGCUUCGGACUAAGUGGUUAGGGCCUUUUAUUGUUACUCACGUAUUUACACAUGGUGCAGUCGAGGUUAAAAGUGAAGAAUAUGGAAAAAUUUUCAAAGUCAACGGGCAGCAACUUAAAGCAUUUUUACGAAAACUUUCAAGUCCACUUGGUUGAGAAAUUAGUCCUCGAAGAGCCAGCUGAAUGAUAUCUCAGGUCGUCGAGCUAACGACGUUAAAAAAAAGCGUUUUUUUUUGGGGCAACCCAAAUUCAUCUUCAUUUAUUCUUUUUUUCCUUCCUCCAUGCCGACCAACUCCUUUCUACCACCUAACUACCGCCGAACAGUAACCUCCCACCUGCACCACCUACCAUCGUCACCGAAUGGAGCCUUUCGCCGUGCGCCGCCGCUCCUCUUCCCCCAACUCCUAUUUUUUUUUAUUUUUUUCUUCUUUUUCUUUGAAACACCAAAACCGCCACCCACCACCUUAAUCGAUGCCAACACCAACACCCCUACCAUCACCAUUAAAAAAAAUUGACCAAAAUCGCACCACCUACCAUCGCCGCUGUCACUACCGCCGUCGCCCUCGCUGCCACCUACCGUCGCCGUUUGCCACAACGCCUUAGUAGACAGAGCUGAUUAUUUGUGUUAUCCAUACAGAUACAAUGGUUCGAACUCGAAACCAAACGGCCAAAAACUUUCUGGUAUCACUCAAUCGAAGUCGGCACCAAUCCUCCGCGCCUCUUGUUGUUGAUAUAGCUGACGAUGAACCUUCUCCACCACCUCCUAGACGAACGACCCCACCCACGAGAACUCGUCGCCGACGAAACCCGACUCCUAUUGAUACAGAACACUCAGACAGCAACCAAGUUCCUCCCGAAAGGUCGAUUACUGAACUUUAACCUCAUUUGCCUUUACUAACAUAUCAUGCAGACGAGACUCAAACCUCUAACGACCAUGUCGAGGUUCCUUCAACCACGAAUGAAAGUUUCAAUCAACACCAAACACGAUCUACUUGAAGCCGUCGACAGUCGAGAUGUGAGCCACUGACACCACCAAGCAGCAGUACUGAUGGUGCUGAAAAUUCAAGUCCUCCCCCCUCGCACGACGCAUAUGUUCGACCAACACGAAAUAGUCAGCGUAAUAGACGAGGUCGUGGCAACACAAUUCCUACCGAAGGACGAUUGCGAGGGUUUUUAGAUUUUUUAACCCAGAGCAUCGCACACGGUACGACGACAUUCGACAACGUCCAAUCCCGGUCUGUAACAAAUCGAUUUCACCAGUCUUGAUAUGUUAGAUAUUCAUGAUGCUGUGAUUAAUUAUUUUGAUGCUAUUGGUGGGAGCUUAUUUGCCAAUAUUUCUUGUCAUGCAUAUUAUGAGUUAAUAUAUGAGUUUUACACCACAUUUAGCUUCAAUAUUAAUGCAUUACAGACAGUUGAAACACAAAACAUUAUCUAUUUUUGUUUGCUUGGAAAGGACUUUCGAAUGUCGAUAUCUGAUUUUAAUAUUGCCAUGGAUUUCGUUGACUUUGACAAUAUUCAAUCCGAUUCCUAUCAUACUGCUCUGUUAGACAUUUUGAGCGACUUUAAUGCUCAAGAUGCCUAUCGUGUUUUAACCAAUUCUAAUCAACUUUAUAAUCUGAAAACCACAAAAGAAUUAUUAGUGCAUGAACCUACUUUAAGAUAUAUUCACUGAUUCCUAGCAUUUAGUUUUUCGGGACGAAACGAUUCAUUUUCUGUUUUAAUGAGAACUGAAUUAUUUUUCUUGUGGUGUAUGCAUUCCGGUUAUAAAGUUAAUUUAGGAUAUUGGUUUGCAAGAAAUUUUCAUGCUGUUUUGCGUUGUAAUCAUCCUCUAAUACUUGGGUCGUAUAUUACGAACUUAACUUCUAUACUUUUUCCCUCUGAAAUCAAUUUCUCGUCCUUGACAUGUGCGUAUCAUAUGGACAGCCUAGAUAAAUAUUGUUUAGAUUUUAUAGGUUUGCUUGCCGGCAUCUCUACUGCGUGUUAUUUUGUUCCUCCAGGUACACGGACUGCUCGUGUGAAUAUGGUUUUUUGCCAACGCCUACAUUUUGCUACUCGAGAACAUGAGGAACAGACUCCAACUGUGGAAGCCAGUUUAAACUGAAUCGAGGCUCUACUUGGACCAAUGGAAACCCAAGUCUCCAUAAUCCUCAACAUCCUGCAGACUCGUUACCCCCAACACCAACUACUUCAUUAACAUAUAUGGGGAGUAUUCUUCACUUUUUCUUUUUAUUUUAGGCUGCUAACUUUUAUUUCAUAUAAUAUAUGCUUGAGGACAAGUAUAGAUUAAGUAGGGGGGAUGGAUGGAUGGUAAUGGAUGGUAAAUAUGCAUGAUUUUUGUUGCAUGUCUCUCUUUUGCAUGUGUUCAAUCUUACAUUAAGUUCAUUCGACAGUUUAUUUAACAUUGAGCCUUUAAUCCCAUACUUAGUUAAUAUUGGACAAUUGGGCAAAAUUUGAAUUAAAAUGUUCAAGUAUAUAGGUCAGCCAACAUUUGUGUUUUAAAAUUGAUAUAUGUAGCUUGAUUUUUUCCGUAUAAAUUGAUUGUUUGGAAAAUUAUAUUUGCUUGUGCAUUAAUAAAUAAGUGAAUAAAUAAAGGUUCAAGUUAUGAGUGAAGUUUCGAAAACGUGACUGGAUUGAGUAACCGGGGUAAGGUGCUUGGGUUGUCAUCUUAUCUCGCGUAAAAAGGCUCGAGUGACAAGUCGAUAACUUAUAAACAUUCCGCUAACUGAGCUUUAUUAUAUAAAAAACAUAUAUAUAUAUAAUAAAUAAAUAAAUAAAAUUUAAGACUGUUUAAACUGAGUAACCGGGAUAGGGUGCUUGGGUUGUCAUCCUAGUUCGCGUAAAAAGGUUUGACCACGUCAAUAAUUUUUUCUAAUGCAUAGUUAAUUAAAUAAUACCUUGCAUUUUAUUGGAUUCAAACUCAAUUUAGUGAAAUUAUUUAGUCCACAUGUUUCAAUUUUAUGACAUUUGUUGAUCAAACUUUAUAUCUUGAGCGUUUAUUUAUUUUUUGCCUGCCGUUAUUUACAUUGAUUAUACAUUCGAAAAGAGGCUCAAUUUUUAAUAAAUUGUAGAACAAAUUUAAUGUUUGAAAGAACAAACAUGCUUGAGGGCAAGCAUGAGCUAAGUAGGGGGGAGUUGAUAAACAUGUUAAUUUACAUGAUUCUUGUGUUUAAUUUGGCUUAUUUCUGAAUUAAUCCCUGCUUAAUUGGUGUUUUUAUGGAUUAAUCUUGUCAGGGAUGCAAUUGCUAAAAAACGAGCAAAAAUGGGUCAAAUUGAAAGACAGAUCGUUGAGUUGGGGCCAAAUCAUAAAGAUGGGAAAGCCAAGGAUUUAACAUAAAUUUUGACUUUGUAAAAAGCUAAAAAUAGAAGAUAUUAUUUUAUUUUGUUAUUUAUUAUUUAUUAUUUAUUUUAUUAAUUUAGUUUUAGCCUAUUUUUAGUAAACCCUAUAUAUAUAAAUAGGGGCUUUUAGUUCUUAGAAAAUCAUCUCUUGUCUUUGUAUUCCUACUUCUAUUUGGAAUUGAAAAACUCUCCUUUUCCCUUUUCAAAUUGGAGUUUAGCAUUCUGUCACUUUUUCAUUUGGUUUUGUUUCUUUUGUCAAAUCGGGCUAAUUGCUUUCCAAGUACUUUUCCUUUUCAAUUUCCAUCACCUUUCAUAUAAAUCCAUCAUUUUCCACAACUUUCAAGCAUGAAUAAAUUCAUGCUCUACUAGAAUUCCAUAUUAGCUUUAGGCCGGUGUUCUUUCUGGUCGAGAAUUGUGAGAUUCGUACUCGCGCCUAAAAUCCUUCCAAUCGGUAUUCACCUUUUUCCUAAGUAUCGAGAUUGACAACUCAUCUCUUAAGGAUAAUUCAAUUUCAAGUCAAAAAGAGCUCGUUGGGUUGGAGUCAUGUUUUCUGACAGUUGGAGAAACAAAUCGGUCGUGUUGUAUUUGGAUCUCUGAGAACAAAUCGAGAAAGAGGUGAUCGGUUUUAAACGACCCACGCAAUUAAGGCCAUUAAUUCGAGUUGGGUUCUUCAGAAUGCAAGGCUGUUGGAAUCUUGAAUCGGAAACAUAUGUAUCUCGGUUAGAUAAUCGGUAAGGGUUGGUUUGCAGGUCGUACCGAGGCCAGCUACGAGAGAAAGAAUUGGUGGUUAGGACAUUCUUAACCACUAUAACCAACUUAUCGUUUGAAGGAGAAGAUCAAUUUUCGAGGAUCGAUUCUCGACAUGGAAUUUACCGAGUCUAAGGCUAAGGCUUAUUACAUUUGAUUGCAAAUCCCAAUUUAAUUUUUGAUUUAUUUAAUUAUUUAGUUUCCACUCAAUUUCAAAAUCCCCUGCUUUACUUAUUUAUUUGCUUAUUUUUCAGCUGAUACGUUUAGAGUCGUGGGCACGACUCUAGCCACGACCCUUGACACGACAUUCUGUUCAUAAGCCAAACUCAAAAAUUGAUUAGUUGCAAAUGGAUCCGCGGGUUCACCAAUCAUUGAAGGUUCUAUACUACCACUCUACUACUAAUUAGAGCUAUUUUGUAGGAAUUAUUUUUGGUGGAUUCGAUGCCCAUCAUUAAGAAAUAAUAGUCAAGGCUCAAAGGAGUUCACUAGGGGUCAAUUAUGUGGGUAGGCUUUUUAUGGGGUAAAUGGGUUAAAACCUAAGUGCCUUUAUCAUUUCAGUAUAUCAAAUCAAAGGUAUGGUCUCGACAUGUAUUAUCGAUGCAAGUUCUAGAAUAGCAAAUUAAUGUUUGCACACUCAUAAAAAAAAUCAGUGAGCAAGAAAGAUAUAUGCUCUAAAAGGCUCAAAAUCUCACGAAAGUUAUGGGUGUUUGAUGUCAAUACUGUAAACUCAAAACUUCAAGAUAAUACCUCAAUUUUGGGAAACAACCUAGAAUUUUUAAUACUCAAAAGUCAACUUAUCAUGCUUGAUCCUCUAAUAUCUUAGAGUUUAAACAAUUAAUGCACAAUUACCUAUGAUUUAAUUCAACACAUACCAAUAAAAAUCAUAAAUCAAUCAAAAUUCACUCUAAUAAUAAUAUGAGAAAAUUAUUUGAGAACAGGAAUAAUUUAGGGAUUUUUUGAUAAUCACAUAAAUAACCUCCCCACACUUAAGUUGUACAUUGCCCUCAAUAUACAAAGAUAGAUAAUAGCAAUAUAAGCAUAAUAUCAUAAGAGAGGGAAAGAAGCGAAACUGCCCUGAAUUUUUGGAUGAAAUCCUUGAAAUAACGAAAGCUAGAAUUGUAGAUAAUGCUAAUAAAAGACAUGAUUCUAAGUUACUAGUAAAAAAAAUAAACACAACUGUGGAAGAGAAUCAAAGGGUUACUCGAGAAAAAUCAUAAAGAUAAAUAUAGUUCAAAAUAUAAGACAUAAGUCAUCAAAAAUAGAUAAAAAUCAAAAUAAAAUUUAAAUGAAAAUAAAAAAAAUAAUAAAUAAAUAAAGGGACUCAAAGGUCCUCAUCAUCGGAUGCCUCGUGGGUCGACGAUGCCGAAGGAGAGAUGUAGAGAUGGUGGCAAAUCUGUCGAAGAGUGGCAUCAAUACUGUCGAAUCGCUUAAAACACUGCUACUCAAAGCGAGUGAGUCGCUUGGAAAUAUCUGUCAAAGUAGCAACAAGAGGUCAGUGACUCGGUGGUGGUGGUGGGUGUGGGUCCUCAUGAGGGGGAGGUUGAUGGUUGGCGUUUGGGGGCACGGGUGUGGGGGGUUCGGGUGCUGUGAGCGGGAUGAAGAAAGAAGAGUAGAAAGGUUGGGAAGAAAGAAAGAGGAAGGGAAAGGAAAGAGAGAAGAGGGGUCGGCCAGUGGGGCCAGUGGCAGUAGCUGGUCAGUGUAAGGGUCGGCGGCUAGGGUUUGGAGGGAAAAUUUGAUGAAGAAGAAGACAAAAAUGUUGGGGUUGGGGGUUUAAAAAGGGGACAAGGUCGUGUGAGGCUCAUGUUAGGCCACACGGCCAUGUUACACGCCCGUGCGACUCGAGUUUAACCCGUGUUUGUCGCGAAAAUUGAAUGCCCAAUCGUUACACGAUCGUGUCGCACGGCCGUGUUCUUUAUUGUUCCCUUCUCCCACACGCCCGUGUGUCCGAACACACAGCCAUGUGCCUUACCUGUGUAACUCUCUGACUUGUUUAAAAUUUUAAAAAAAUUAGCUCUAGUUUUCACACGGCCUAAGACACGCCCGUGUGGCCUACACGGCCUAAGACACGCCCGUGUGGCCCACACGGCCAUACCGCACACUUGUGUGGCUCUAUCAUAGGCCGUGUGGCUCGAUACUUGGGGAUUUUUAGCCCUGUUUCCACACGGCCAAGGACACGCCCGUGUCCAGGCCGUGUGGGUCACUGUUCCUGCAUAAAAAAUAUGAAAACUAGAUAAAAUAAAUGGGUUAGUGGUGUCAGUGCUCGGGUUACCUCCCGAGAAGCGCUUAUUUAAAGUCUAAGCUCGACUUACCUCAGUUUCGUGUUGUCACGGUUGGUUGAGGAGUUGAAACUCCUCACCUCUGUUAUCAAUUUUAUUAAGAUAAGGUCUGAGUCAAGUAUUAUUUACCUUAAAAGUUCCAAAGUCAAUAUGUGUUACCUCGACUAUACCAUGUGGGAAAAUAUUCAAUACCAUGAAGGGAAUCGUUCUGUUUGUAUCGUGUUUUGAAGUAGCAAUUCUAGGGUCCUUUUCAUUUAACAAUACUUUGUCCCUGACCUUAAAUUGCAUUGUUUCAUUCGUACGCCUAUCGUGGUGCCGCUUUGAUUCAUCGUGUGCUUUUGGUUUCUCUUUGACAUGUGUUUGCCAUUCAUCUAGUUCAUCGAGCUGAAGCCUUCGUUCUUAGUGAGCUGCUUUGUUUUUGUUGCAUGGAUUAGAAUGAGGCUCCAUCAUGUUCUUUCUAGGGGACUCCUGCAAAGGAGUUUGAGUUGUAACAUUAUUCAAAUUAACCAAACUUAAACAAUCAUCUCGAUUACUAGAUAUUUUAGUAGAAUCACGAGCUUGAAGUUUAAUCGUGUCAUCACCUACACGAAGUAUCAAUUCACCUAUGCCAACAUCGAUGAUAGUUUAUCAGUUGCUAAAAAGGGCCUUCCUAAAAUUAAAGGUACGCCACUAUCCUUGUCAAUUUCUAGAACAACAAAGUCAAUUGGGAAUAUAAAUUUAUCAAUUUUGACCAGCACGUCUUCAAUAAUACCCCUAGGAAAUUUAAUUGUUUUAUCUGCCAAUUGAAUGCUCAUCCUAGUUUGUUUGGGUUUCCCAAGACCUAGUUGUUUAAACAUUUUAUAGGGCAUGACAUUAAUACUCGCCCCUAGAUCAGCCAACGCAUUAUUAAUAUUUAAACUACCAAUUAAUUAAGGAAUCGUAAAACUCCUUGGAUCUUUCAACUUGUUGGGUAUCGUAUUUUGUAGAAUGGCUGAGCAAACUGUGUUUAAUUGCACAUGCGAUGCAUCAUCUAACUUUUGUUUAUUAAUCAAGAGUUUCUUUAAAAAUUUCACUGCGUUUGGCAUCUGCGAAAGAGCUUCAAUAAAUGGUAAGUUAAUAUGUAAUUUUUUUUAAUAAUUUAAGGAAUUUACCGAAUUGUUCGUCUGUGUGGUCUUUCCUUGUCGCAUUGGGGUAUGGUACGCGAGGUUUAUACUCGUUGCUUACCAGUUUCUGUUUAUCAUUGCUUACAUCAACCUUACCUUUAUCUUCCACAUUAUCUUGCCUCAGUUUCGGUUCAGCUUCAACUAACCCUUCAUCAUUGUGCACAGUAAUGGCAUGAAGUUGUUCCAUUGGGUUAAUUUCAGUGUUACUUGGUAGGCCAUCUUGUGGUCGUUCAAAUAUCAACUUAGCAAGCUGUCCUAUUUGAGUUUCGAGCCCUUGAAUUAAUGCUUGUUGAUUUUUAAGUACUGUUUCGAUAUUCUGAAAAUGAGUUUUUGACACAGAGAUGAAUUUUGUAAGCAUUUAUUCAAGGUUCGGUUUCUUCUCUUAUUGGUAGGGUGGUUGUUGAAAACGUGAAGGAUGUGUGACCUUUGAUUUCCCUGACCACCCUAUGAGAAAUUGGGAUGGUUCCUCCAACCUACAUUAUAAGUGUUACUAUACAGGUUAUUUUGAGGUCUAGAAUUAUUACCCAUAUAGUGGACUUGUUCCUCUUUGGUGCUAGUGUUGAAGGAUGAAUAGUCUGUAUUGUGUACUCCUCCUCCAUUUGAAUCACACCUCAUCACUGGAUGUACCUGAGUAGAACCAUACAAACCAUCAAUAUUUUUAUUUAAAAGUUCUACCUAGUUAGAUAGCAUAGUGACUGCGUCGAGGUUGAAAACACCAACUGCUUUUGUUGGCUUUGUUCUCAUGACUUGCCACUGAUAAUUAUUCAGUGACAUCUCUUCUACGAACUCGUAAGCCUCUUUAGGUGUUUUGUUGUUUAAAGUUCCACCGGCAGUUGCGUCUAUUAGUUGCCUUGUUGAGGGGUUCACACCAUUGUAAAAAGUCGGAACCUGCAGCCAUAGAGGUAACCCAUGGUGAGGGCACCUUCUUAAUAAGUCCUUGUAUCUCUCCCAUGCAUCAUAAAGAGUUUCUAAAUCCAUCUACACAAAAGAAAAGAUAUCAUUCCUAAAUUUAGUCGUUUUAGCCGGUGGAAAAUAUUUAAGCAAAAAAAUUUCGAUCAUUUAUUCCCAAGUAGUGAUUGACCCUCGUAGUAACGAGUUUAACCACUGUUUAGUCUUAUUUCUCAAUGAAAAGGGAAACAACCGAAGGCAAAUGGCAUCGUCAAAAAUGCCAUUGAUCUUAAAGCUGUCACAGAAUUCCAUAAAAUUCGCUAAAUGAGUGUUUGGACCCUCGUCUUGCAAACUAUCAAAUUGAACAAACUUUUGUAUCAUUUGAAUCGUGUUAGGUUUCAGUUCAAAAUUAUUUUCAGCAACAGUAGGUCUAACGAUACUCGAUUCAGCUCCUAUUAAAUUAGGUUUAGCAUAAUCAUACAUAGUACGAGGAGCAGGAUUCUGAUUUACUGGAUUUGCAGUAACCAUAGGAGGUAACAGAUUAUUUUGAUUAUUAACCAUCUCAUCGGUUGUGGUAUGGAUAUCGGCCUCUUGCUCUUCCUCUAUGUAUUGUAGGCUUCACCUUAUUUCUCUUCGAUUUCUGCGAGUUGUGCUUUUGAUUUCUCUAUUAAAAAGUAGAGGUCCUGACGGGUUUCUUAUAGUCAUAAACUAUAAAAACCUGCCAGAAGUAGAGAAAAGAAAAUUUAGUAAAUAAAAAUAAAAUUAAAUUGCAAUAAAAAUAAAAUUGGCUAAAGUAAUAAAAAUUAAGUGUUCUUAAUAUUUUAGUCCCCGGCAACGGCACCAAAAACUUGAUGGUCGUGAAACUAACUAAAAAUUUGACUAAGGCAAGCGCACCUAUCGAAUAGUAAUAUAAUUAUGGUGAGACCGAAAAUAUCAUAUCCACGAGGACUAAAAAUACUAGUAAUUGCUAUCUUUUUAUUAUCUAGCUUAACAAUUAAGAGAAUGUUUUAAACUAACACUAAUUAUCUAAUUAACUAAGAUUGCGACAGAGGUUAAAGUUGGAAAAUACUUUUGGAAAACCGAUGGAGAAGACAAUACCCAAGGAAGAAUUCACCUAGACUUCACUUAUUACCUUUGAAUUAGACGAUUUAUUCACUUGACUUAAUCUGUAGGAAUUCCUGAUUUAUGUUAAUAUCUCUCUCGAGACUAAGAACAACUGACUCUAGGUUGAUUAAUUAAAAUCUCUUUCUAAUUAAAACCCCUAUUGUCACAUCAACUCGAUCUAUGGAUUCCCUUAAUAGAUUUGACUCUAAUCCAGCAGAUUUAUGUCUUCCUAUCUUUAGGAUUGCAUGCAACUCCGCUUAAUUAUGAAUGAUCUACUCUUAAACAGGGACUUUUCCUCCACUGAAUAAUGCACAUGAAAAACCUAAAUUAAUAUCCUAGAAUAUUAAAAUAAAGGUUAAACUCAUAAUUAAUAAUAAGAACAAGUAUUUAUCAUAUAACUCAAUUAGUAAUAAGAUUCGUCUUAGGUUUCAUCUCUCUUAGGUAUUUAGGGAGUUUAGUUCAUAAUAAUGGAAAACAUCUCAAAAAUUGGAAAACAACAAAACAUAAAGAAACCUAAAGAACUUCUAGGAAAUUUGAUGGAAAUCUUCAGUCUUGAUGUAGAUCCUCCUUCUGAGCUGAUCCCGAUGGCUGUUCUUGAGUAUAUUCUGCCUUCUACCCUCUGUGUCCCCCUUUAAUCCUCUUCUAGGGUGUUUAUAUAGACUUUGGAAUGCUUCAAAAUCUUAAAAUUAGCCUUUUUCAAUAGAGUUAGACUUGGGCUCGACAGGGACACGGCCGUGUGAAGGCCCUCAAGCCGUGUGCAAUUCUGACUUGGUUUUUAGUCGACACGGCCAUAACACACGGGCGUGUGGCCUGCAGUGUGCCUCACACGAGCGUGUGGUUUACCUGUGUAGAAGUGCAUGAGUCGUGUGAAACACUAAAUUAGGCCCAUUUAGUCUGUUUUUGGCCCAUUUCUUGCUCUUUUUGCUUUCCUAUACUCGCCUAAGUAUAAAACAUGAAUUUAAAGGAUUAGAAGCAUCAAAUUCGAUGAAACCAAGGAAAAAUCAUCCAUAAAUAUGCCAAGCAUAGGGUAAAAACAUGUAUAUAUUAUGGUUUAUCAAUUACCUCAGUAAAAAGUUCACUGAGUGUGAGACGAGAUACUCGCCAAUUGAAAAGUUAUGUUGCGCCUUAAUCUGGAAAACUAGAGGAUUGAAAUAGUACAUGUUGUACCGCAAAACUUGGCUCAUCUCGAAACUAGACCCUCUAAAGUACAUGAUAGAUUCGACUGCUUUGAAUGGAAGAAUGACCCGAUGGCAAAUUUAGCUUUCUGAAUUUGAUAUAGUCUAUAUAAACCAGAAAGUUGUAAAAGAGAGCGCAAUAGCAGAUUUUCUAGCAAUAGAGCUCCAGAGGAUUACGAGCCUUUGAACUUUGAUUUCUUGAAUGAAGAUCUAAUGCAUGUUACAACUACUGAAGAAGACUCUCAAGAAGGUAAUCCUUGGAAACUAAACUUCGAUGGGGCCUCAAAUGUUGUGGGUAAUGGAAUUGGAGCAGUCUUGAUAUCCCCAAACGGAGAUUAUUAUCCAUUUACUGGUAAAUUAAAUUUUGAUUGCACAAACAAUAUGACAGAAUACGAAGCAUGCAUCAUAGGUAUCUGUGCAGUCAUAGAGCGUAAGAUCAAAGUAGUUGAGGUAUAUGGGGAUUCUGCACUAGUGAUCUAUCAACUCAAAGGUAAGUGGGAGACGAGAGAUCUUAAGUUGAUCAAUUAUCGAAGGCUGGUUCUAGAGCUAAUUGAAGAGUUUGAUGACAUCACCUUCUGCUAUCUUCCACGAGACGAAAAUCAAAUGGCUGACGCUUUGGAUACUUUGGCUUCAAUUGUUAAAGUAAACAAACAAGAGGAUGUGAAACCUAUUCGGAUGAGUAUCUAUGAGACUCCGGCUCACUGUUACAAAAUUGGAGAAGAAGAAAAAAAGGACAAUCAACCUUGGUACCACAAUAUACUGCGAUAUGUAAAGAAUCGUGAGUACCCUGACCAAGCAACUAAGAACGAUAAACGGACAUUGAGAAGACUGGCUAGCGACUAUGUUUUAGAUGGAGAGAUCCUAUAUAAUAGAAGAAAGGAUCAGAUGCUACUGAGAUGUGUAGACGCUAUCGAGCCUAAGAAAAUCUUGGAAGAAGUCCACGAGGGUUUCUGCGAAACACAUGCCAAUGAUUUCACAAUGGCCAGACAAAUUAUGAGAUUCGGGUAUUAUUGGUCCACCAUAGAAGGAGACUGCAUCAAUUACGCCAAGAAAUGGCAUAAGUGCCAAAUUUAUAGAGAUAAAAUUCAUGUACCUCCUUCGCCUCUGCAUGUUAUGACUUCUCUAUGGCCUUUCUCUAUGUAGGGCAUGGAUGUCAUUGGGCCGAUCUCGCCUAAAGCUUCUAACAGGCAUCGAUUAAUCUUUGUGAUCAUUGAUUACUUCACCAAGUAGGUAGAGGCUACUUUUUACACCAAUGUCACGAAGUCAGCAGUUAGCAAAUUCUUGAAGAAAGAAAUCAUAUGCCGGUAUGGAAUACCAAAAAGGAUCAUCUUUGACAAUGCAUUGAACUUGAAUAAUAGUACGAUAGUGAAGGUUUGUAGUCAAUUCAAGAUCAAGCACCACAACUCGUUACCAUAUCGCCCAAAAAUAAAUGAUGCAGUGGAGGCAGCCAAUAAGAACAUUAAGAAGAUCAUAGGGAAAAUGACUGAAACUUAUAAAGAUUGGCAUGUGAAGUUACCAUUUGCCCUUUAUGCUAAUCGUACAUCUGUCAGAACUUCAACCGGGGCAACGCCUUUCUCUCUAGUUUACGAAAUAGAGGCAGUUUUACCCAUUGAAGUCGAGAUUUCUUCUCUCAGAGUUUUGGCAUAAUUGAAAUUGGGUAAAGUAAAAUGGAUCCAAUCACAAUACGAUAAACUAAACUUAAUUGAAGAGAAAAGAUUGAAAGCCAUUCGUCAUGGUCAGAUGUACCAAAAGCGUAUGAUGCUGGCUUACAACAAAAAAUUUCGUCCCAGAGAAUUCCAUGAGGGGGACCUAGUAUUGAAAAAGAUCCCGCUCAUACAAAAAGAUUUCAGAGGGAAAUGGACACCAAAUUGGGAAGGACCUUAUGUGGUAAAGAAGGCUUUUUCCGGAGGAGCACUAAUUUUAACUAAAAUGGAUGGUAAAAACUUGCCUAAUCUUGUGAACUCAGAUUCAGUCAAGAAAUACUUCACCUAAGAAGAAGAAGAAGAAAAAGAAGAGGAUAGGCCAAGGCGAAAUCCCGCAAAGGGCGCCUUAAGACCAAAGGGGGUUUUGAAUUGAAAACCCAAGAAAAGGGCAAUUUAAGUUUUGAUCAAAGGUGGGGCCUACAAUAGUCUUGCUAUGCCCGAAUUAACAAAGAGGAGGGAUGCUACAUCUUGGGGCAUCAACAAAUUACUCUAGGUUUUCUAAACACGUAUCAAGUUCAAAGGGUCUUUGAGAAGUUUUGUGCGGAGAAGCUCAUGCUAUGAUAUCUGGGACACCUGUUUUUAUCUUAUUCAUUUUUUAUUUUGGAAAGAUGCACUUUCUUGAUUAAUUUAUCCUCUUUUUGUACUUUAGCAAAUUUGCUAUCAUGAUUAAUUCAGUUUGAGCUUUGCUCUCAAUAAAAUUCCAUCUUAUCCAUUGUCAUAAUCUUUUUCAAGCAUUUUUCAAUGAAAUAACGAUUAAUGGACUAGUAAUAUUCAAACAAAAGGAUUUUUGCGUAUUACUCUGAAAAGUUCUCUAAAUAGUAUAAGGACCUGAAGUGGGACCAUUGGUCAAAACUAUCCGAAGUUAAGGAUUGGGAUCAUUUGAGAAAAGAAUCGUCUAAAUUGUGACUAUUUCUUUAGAUUUUUUUGCCAAAGAUACCAGCUGAACAAGAAUGCUUGGUAACACAUCAGUGACAGAACCUCGAUGAAUGACGAACAAUGGCAACCUAAGUAGUAAAAAAGGGAUCAUUCACGUAACAUGACAUUCUGCAUUCAUGCUAAUAUCAUGCAUACACAUCUAGUUAGGAGCAUUUGAUUCAUUCAGAUCAUGACAUCCUAAUCACUAAACAUAAAAAGGUCCAUGAAAUUGGUUCUACAGGUCAUGUUUCCCAGAUAAUGGUGUAACAGAUUAGUAAAGCCACAAUUCCUAUACCCCUGAAGUUACAGUGGGACGGUUUGAAGUUAUCAUGGCAAAUCUCAUUUCCCUGAAGUUGCAGUGGAAUAGGUUGAAGAUAACAGCAGUGGGGCAGGUUGAAGUCAAAAGUCUUAUCUCCCUGAAGUUACAACGAGCAGACGGCGAAUCUUAUCUCUCUGAAAUUGCAGUGGAGCAGACUGAAGAUACCAAUAUUAUCUCUCUAAAGUUGCAGCGGAGUAGAGUGAAGCUACUAAUCCUAUCUCCCUAAAGUUGCAAUGGAUCGGAUUAAAGCGACCAGUCCUAUACCUCUAAAUUACAGUAGGUCGGAUCAAAUCUACCAUGACAAUUCUUAUCUCCUUGAAGUUGCAGUGGGUCAGAUUGAAGCCACAAGUUUUAUCUAUCUGAAGUUGUAGUAGAGCAGAUCAUAACAAACUUUAUCUCCCUGAAGUAGCAGUGGAGCAUGUUGAAGUUACAAGUCUUAUCUCCCUGAAGUUGCUGCGGAGCAAACUAAAGAUAGCGAAUCUCAUUUCCUUGAAGUUGCAGUGGAGCAUAUUGAAGCUACUUAAAAAAAAGAAGCACCAAAAGAAGUCAAGACUUAGCGAGACCGGACAAAAUUGGUCUUUCUUAAAAGUCUUUGCUCUGUUCUCGUUACACGACAACGAGCAAAGAGGGGCAGCUGUACAUCCCAAUUUUGGCCCAGGCUAAAACAAACCCAAACUAAUACCCAAUUACACAGCCC
rnacentral:lncRNA from 1 species